rnacentral:lncRNA from 1 species
AACCACAUGUUAUAUAUCAGGCUUACAACAAUGCUUCGCGCACACAUUCUAACUUUUAUUUUCUUUAAAGAAAAUGACUUAUCAAUAUAUGCAUGCAUGUGUUGUAUUCUCAAGCUUUGCUACCCCAACGUCUGUCUAUAUCUAAAAUAACACCAUAUUCAUCUGAAAUUCUGAUUCCACGGUGCUGCUUUACACGUAGGUUGCCAGAAGUAUAAUUCUUGGUCUAGAAUGGCCUUCCUUCGGUAAGGAUCAGCACAGAUAAACCACUGGUUCUGGUUCAGACCAAAUUGAAUGCAGACAUUCAUUUUACAUUUUUUUUUGACUGAAAGCUGUAGGAAAGAUUCAGACAGCAGAUAUAUAUAAAUUAAAAACAAAUAUUUACAAAAGGUUACAAGGAAGCGAGGGGGGGGGGGGGGGGAGGGAAAGGAAAAGGAAAGGAAAAAGCCCCUUAAGGCACAAAGGAGACCGAGACUAGCCAAUCUAACAAGGCAGAUUUAACAUCAGAGGAGAGACGAGCACUCUGACGAAGGAGAUUCUUUUUACAUCAUAAGCAACAUAUUAUUGGUUUAAAUGUAUUUGGAAUAUUUGUAGAUGCUGGAUACAGAGAGGGACACUAGAAUGUAUUCUGUUUAUUUGCUUGAUAUUUAUGUGCAAAAGCUCACAACAAAAUAAUGUUCACAAACUUCGCCCAUAUAUGUUGCUUGCAUUCAGACCUGAGUUUAACCCAUGUAGUUCUACAGAAGUUAAUACAUAAAAUUCUCUCUUGUUUUUACCUUCUCUAUGCUAUGAUUUUCAGAGACUAACCUGAUGAGACGUAUGUAAACAGGAAGAAGAUGGGAAGGAAAUGACCAAGGUUCUGCAUCGGUAUACUGCUGACAAACAAUCUUCCUUUGGAGAGCUAGCACUGAUGUGAGAUAUUUUUGCUCAUAUGUGAUUUACUAUACACUAUCACUAUGAUCAUGAAAGAAGUUAUUUUAACUUUUAAUGUGAAGAUCUCUCUUAUAGUUAAUCAACAGAAAUGUGCCUACUAGUAGUAUAGCAGAACUACAAACAAGAGUGUAAUUAAGAAGAUUAGGUGCUCAUAUAUUUCAGAGGACCAAAGAGCCAUGUCCGCUCCUGUUACUGUUAACACGUAUGUGCGUGCGAGGUGGUCAAUAGUAGUCAGCUCUCAGGAUCACGCUGUACUUAUCAGUCAGCAUAUAAUUGUGCUUUUCCUAUCCGCACCUAAAAAGGGAAUCUUAGAUCUGCUCUAAACCAUGGGUUCUCUCUAUCUCCAAGAACAUGCUACAUUAAGUGUGAAAACUGAAAGCUAAUGCAUUGCCUAUGACAAGUGUGUUGCAUUGUAUUCAAAAUAAAUCACUAUAACAUGUGUGGUCCAUUUUGUCUCUUCCAAAUACUAAUUCUGAAAUGACUGGGAAAUUUUACCUAGAAACUAAAGUUCAGGUUCCAUGUAUAUGGCACCUUUCACGAGUAUUCAUGUUCUUGCUUGUGCAUUAUCAUACCUUGUUAUUCUAGUUUCAACCUUGACUGCGCCGUGGUGAUAACAUAGCAACUUUCCUGAAAAACAGGAGAUGACAUAAAUGUAUUUUCAUAGACUGUUAAUGCGGCUAUGGGCCUUCGACUAACUAACACAGGAAACAUAAUAUUGUUUUUUAUAAUCUGAAACGUGAACGGGCCCCUAGUGUAAUGGUUAGGUGGCUCUAGUAGCCCUCCUUAGUUUCCUGAGUUUGACUCCUUGUGGGAGCGAAUUUCAGGCCGGGGUUAAAAAAUCCCCUCAUCUGUCCGUGUUUCUAAACAUGCGUUUUUUUUUUCUGAAAAGAUCAAGCAUAGCAAGUCUAUGCAUCUAAGCGUCUAGUACACUGCCAGCCAGCCCGGUUGAAGAUAUCCUGAGAGACCGUUUCCAGCCGGUUGCAUCCAAUAGCCAAAGGGUCAACCUGCGUGAGAAGGUCUUUUUCUUAAUGCAAAUUCCUGGGGGUGGCUUACCCCUUGCAGGUCGAGCUUUUUAUAAUCUGAAACAUACCGUUCCAUGACUUGGAAAUAUAUGACCAGAUACAAUAUGAAUCUCUCCACUGCCUUGCAGGCAUGGCGAUGAUGGAAUAAGAUGAUCAAACCCAGAUGGAUAUAGGUAGCAGUCAUUAUUAGUGCAUCUAAUCACCGUUUAUUAUUGAUAAACAGGUACAACAAGCCACUUCAGUCUUCAGUUCGUGCCGUGACUAGUGGAACAUUAUGGGCUCUAAAGCGGGAGGAUUUCAGGGGAAUUCUGAUGUCAGAGUUUUCGAACAUAUCAUCAUUGAAGCUGCUCCGGUCUGUAGAGCUGUUUACAAAAUUGACAGUGGUUCAGCUAAGUCAACUUGCCGAAUCACUUGUUGAGGUAUCCUUCGCAGACGGACAAGUAAUAGUAGAAAAGGUAUAUGGAGUGCUAUGUCUGCAAAUUUAUGGGCCUCUUGCUCAGUUCUCUAUUGUAACUCUUGUCAACCUUCUUCCAGGAUGAUGAAGUCUCUAACCUGUAUAUUAUUCAAAGAGGUCGUGUGAGACUUAUAGUAGCAGCUGAUCAGUUAAAUUCAGAUGCUUGGGAUCUUCUUAGUGCUCACACCAAGCAGGUCCAACAAAGUCAAGAAAAUGGCAAUUAUGUGGUUGAGAUAGAUGAGGGAGGUCACUUUGGAGAGUGGACUCUCAUUGGAGAGACUAUCGCAUUUACCGCUAUCUCAGUUGGUGAUGUGAUUUGUUCUACUAUUGCAAAGGAGAAGUUUGAUUUAACUGUUGGGUCUUUGCCUAAACUUUCACAGCCUGAUUCCAAGUACUGUAUCUGGAACAUCUUUUCCAUAGUUAGCCCAUGAUAUAUUCACUGAGAUAAUCCUGUUAUAACAUCCAUGCAGGCUUAAAGAUUCUCUUAUCCCAAAGGAGCAUCAGCAUAGUGCAGAGGAGGAUUUUUCCUUUCGGCGGGUUCAUCUAUCUGAUUUGGUAGGGGGUUAGUACUUCAGUUCCUUUUUCUCUAGCGUGCCUCUUUUUCUAUCAGGAGAAAGAUUUGCUGAGGUAUACUGAUGCAUGGUCCAAUGCAUGUUCACAGGAAUGGAAGACGUGCAUAUAUGCCGCUGAUUGCAGUGAGAUCGGCCUCGUCCAAGUUAGAGGCUCCGGUAUGAUAACGGAUUCAGCCUGAUUUGUCUUUGUUACCGGAUUUGUCAAUUUUCGACCAGCCAUACUUGUGUUUCAGCUAAUAGUGUUUUGUUUCUUCUAACCAUUGACCAGACAAGAUUAAAAGCUUCAAAAGAUUUUAUAUCAAGAGAGUAAAAGAUCUCCGUAAGGAGGCACAGGUCUUUCAGGAGAAAGACAUCAUGAAAAGUUUGAGCCAAACUGCAUGUGUGCCAGAAGUUUUAUGUACUUGUGCUGACCAAUCAUACCUUGGAAUACUGCUGAAUUGUUGCCUUUGUUGCUCACUGGCUUCAAUACUUAGUACACCACUAAGUGAGUCAUCUGCACGAUUCUAUGCAGCUUCAGUUGUUGUUUCUCUAGAAGAACUUCACCAGGUAACUCAAUUUUUCCUAACCGAGAGAUUGAACAAAAUUUGUAUAUCUGGAUUUAUGUUAUGAGCUAACCAACACUAUGCAUAUAAUUAUGUGAAUUAUUUCAGAGGUGUAUUCUUUACAGAGGUGUUUCAGCAGACAUUCUUAUGCUUGACAGAUCGGGACAUCUGCAGGUCAUUAUCUGACUUUGAUGUGAUCUCUUAUUCUGCCGAGGCCUAAGGCAUUAAAAUCAUCAGUUGCUUUUUACGAACCAUGUUCAUGUUGUAUAACUAACAAGCAUUUUUUUGGAGGAAUGUAGAACUACUAAACAUGUCCAUCCAGCACUGAACCAUAGCAUAUGUAUAACCCUUCUUCCACAUCAUCGUAAUUCUAAUAAUACAAAUGUAUUUGUGUAUGACAGAUAGUUGACUUUAGGUUUGCAAAGAAGUUGGAAGGUGAAAGGACAUACACAGUAUGUGGCAUUGCUGACUCGCUAGCUCCAGAAAUCGUUCUUGGCAAGGGCCAUGGAUUUGCUGCUGACUGGUACAUGAUUAUCUACCACUUUCUUGUAUACGAUCUAUUUCUUGAUUGUUAUACUUUAAAUCUAAUGAGAAAUCAAGAAGUAAAGUGAAAGUAGAUACAGUACAAAGUUUUAAAGAGAAAAAUACACAGGAACAUUUUGUACACCACUUUGGUCACCUGGAAAGGUAUGCGUAUCUGUGUUUGUGUAGAGCUAAGAGAUUGUUCUUUGGCAUGAUCAGGUGGGCACUCGGAGUAUUGAUUUAUUUCAUGCUGCAAUCUGACAUGCCAUUUGGGUCCUGGAGGGAGAGUGAGCUAGAACCUUUCGCAAAGAUUGCAAAGGGGCACCUAAUUAUGCCGUCAACAUUCAGCGUGGAAGUUGUUGACCUUAUAACCAAGGUUGUAUCCUGUUCCGAUGCUUGUACUUCAAUUUUUCAUGUAUCUUGGACAUUAUUUGGACUGUGUACAACACGGCAACUAAAUCUUAUGAUUUUCCCGGUCAGCUACUUGUGGUAGAUGAAAAUGCACGCCUCGGAACCAACGGUGCAGACGCCGUGAAGAAACACCCCUGGUUUGAUGGCAUUGACUGGAAACAAAUAGCAGAUGGCACUUUAACAGUACCUCAAGAAAUUUCUGAUCGCAUCGCCAGCUAUGUAGAAACUCUUCAGGAGGAUUUAACUGGCUCCCCUUCCAUGAUGACUGAAGAUCCCGCUGAUCUGGCUGUUCCAGAAUGGGUUAAAGAUUGGUAAUCUUAGUAACUGGAUACAUAGCGAGAGCUUCUUUAGUUUUUGCCAGGAAGGCACUGUCAUAUCAUAUGAAAACAGGUAUCCAGAUGAGCGGAAGUUCUGUCAAAAUGAAGAAUUUAUCAUAAACAGCGAAGAUCCGCCUAUGGUUGUAUAUAGCAGGAAUCACUAGCACAAGCUGCGACCAUUUGAUUAAUGCCAUCAAAUGGAGAAAAUGGUGAUAAAUUAGUCACAAUGCACGAGCAUUGGUCUGCAAGGUGGUAAAUAAGUCCUCCAGUAAAUAUGUAUAGGCCCUUCUUUCAUUUGUCAAUUAAUUUAUAGUUUUCCUACUCAUGUAAUUUUGUGUAAAAUUUUGAAGAGAAAAAACAAGAUCCAUGUGUCGGAAGGUGUCUGCUAGUAGGUUGUGCAGCUGUCUUUACUUAAGUUUAUUUUACAAUCUUGUAAUUUUACAAUUACAGUUUGACGUAAAAUUGCAUGCAUUAUAGAAGUUUGCAGGAUUCAUGGGUGCAUGACUUCAACCAUCAAGGUUCAAAUUCUAGUGCUCACAAUUGUUCCCUCCAUUUCACAAAGGUUGGCGUAUUUGGUUUCGUUAAGACGAGUAUUUAACAAAAAUUACAUUAUUAAUAUCUAAGUUAUAUGAUACGAAACCACGAUCAUUAGCAAGAACUUUUAAAGACGAAUCCACUGAUAUAGAUUUCAUAUAUGAAAAUACACAUAUCAAUAGAAUUCUCAUUGGUCAAAACCUUGUCUUAACGAAACAAAAUACGCCAACCUUUAUGAAAAUGAGGAGGUAUGAUGUAAGGAUUUUCCUUUCCCUUGCAGUCUUUCCAUAAAAAAAAUAGAAGUUUGCAGGAUUAUAGUCCUUGGGAAUUUACAUAUAUGGGCUGUUUAAUUGGUAAGUUGAAGGCAAUUCCAAACGUACGCUUGACAAGUCAGACCAUUUCUCUCCUAAUGUUUGCAUAGUACUCCUUAUUUGACAAGCCAUCGAGAUCUAAUCUGCAGAGGAUACGCGCACAAACUCUGCCUUGCGCGUCAACUAUCGGAAUCUUGAUCCGGUAAUAUUGGUUCUAGAGCUAAGUACACGUGGCGGCUCAAGAUGAAGUUUAGACAGGUUCAGGCGCUCGGAAAGAUAUAAUACCCCCUGUUUGGUGCAUUAUAUUUACGGUGUCUCAAAUGUUUGGCACAACCCUGAGUCGGCUGGAAGCGGAGUCGAUGUUGCUGGUGUUGGAAGCCGUCGAGAUAUUAUCUGGAGAGGAUACACGCACACCCCUACAUGGCACUCCAACUAUCGGUGUUUUGAUCCGACAAUACUGAUUCCAGAGCAAAGUACGUGUGGCGGAUAAAGAUGGUUGCAGACAAGAGAAACGGAGUUUAGAUAGAUUCAGGCGUUCGGAAAGAUUUAGUACCACAUGGUUUGGUGUUUUGAUGUUGUUUCAAAUGUGUGUAGUACCUGGAGUAGUUCUCAGGGUUGCUAGGUCUUUUUUUUGUCUAUCCAAGAACAUGACUAUUAAGUGGCCUUGCCCCGCCUUCUAUAGGUGGUCAAUUGUCUAUCCCGGAUAUUUGCACGUAUCACUAAUUCGACGAGACCUCCCAUGUACGAGUACAAUGCGAAACACCUUGUCACCUGUAAAACCGUUCAACUGUUAGAAAGAGGCUUCCGCACCUCGACAAUAAUACAUGGCCGUUACCUCCCAUCCCACCCGGCGGGAAGCACCAUGUAGAGCCUCUUUGGAUCAUAGGAAUUGUAAAACAGAGGAAUAGAAAAAAUACAGGAAUAGGAAGCCAUGGCAUAUUGAAACCUAUAGGAAUUCAAAACACAGGAAUCAGUAUUACAAGUUGUUUGGUUGCAGCAUAGAAAUAUUUUUAUAUAUGCAUUAGUAUAAGCCACACUUGUCAUUGACACAUAAUUUUUUUUUCAAAAGGUUACACCUCUCGCUAAAAUUCUCAUAGGAAUAGGAUGUAGAAAACCAAUCCAUAGAAUUUGGGGAGGAUGAAUUUCUUUGAACCAAAGAGUCUCUGUAAAAAAAUUUCCUAUGGGUAAGAACCCUACCAAAACCCUAUAAAAUUCCUUAAUCCAAAGAGGGCCGCAGUGCCUGUAGGCCAUUUUUUCUAUCUUUUCGAGAUUGAGUUUCCAACGUGUUAUUUUUGGUAUUAGUGUUUGAAGAUGUCAUUUCCAUCGAUUGCCGUGAGCAUAAAGUUAGAUUUGCGAAAAUGAAACAAAAAAUGUGGCCAUGUGGGUACAAACCCGUACAACUCGUUGUGGGUCCAAGUGAUUUAUUUCCGAAAUUCCGGCCCGGAGACCGAGGUAUGCGCGAAAUUGUCGACUCCUUUGUGGGCCGCCUCCUCUACCGCUCUCUUUUCCUAGAAACCCAAAUUUGCACGCCCUCCCCAGCAGCGAGUACUUGCGCGACCUCGCGGACCCGGAGAUGGCGGCGGCGGCGGCGGCCGAUGAGGCGUGGUGCCGGGAGACUGUUCCCCGUGUGAUGGAGCUGGUGAGCCCGCGUCUUCCUCAGCGCGACGCCUGCGCCCUGCUGGCCGUCAGCCCCUGGUGCCACCGCGCCCUCGUCGCCAAUCCCAAGCUCUGGGAGGUGCGUAUCGCGUUGCCUCGUGUGCACCCUACCCCCCGCUACCUCCUGCCGCGCUUGCUCUCAUGGCAUGCGUUGUAACUAGUGAUUCAGCGCUGCAUACACUGUAUUGUUGCAAUCGUCCUACCCCUCCCCUUCCACAUCCCCCCACCCGCACAGUGCCAUUUUGGGCGGAAAAUAGCGCUCCCAGGAGUUUAUUUGAUUGAUGCUUGGCGCAUGAAUUUUCAUUUGCCUCGAUGUUUGGUUCUGAUUCUUGGACCUGUUAGUUUCUGAUGAAGCAAGAGCCGUUGAAGGAACUGAUGCCGUUACAUAUUGGUUCAGUUUUUGCCCUGCAAAAUUGUUACGACUGAGCACUAGGUUACUCUCUACCAACUUCAUGAGAAUCAAUCGCAACGCUCAUGCAAAAUUGACGUGAGCACUUGUCUUGAGCGGGUGGCAUACCCUAACUGAAGAGUGAGGGCAAGAAGUAGAGUUGAUUAUAGAUGGCGCAUAGAGCAGCCUAUGUCAGAGGUAAAUCAGCCUACUAUGAUCAUUCCUUCGGAAAUAGGUACACAAAAGGAACUAGUUUGUGAAGUUGUGCAGUAAUGUCAUGAAACUAAAAUGUGCAGACGUGCUGAUUACUGAACUGUGCCUUGAAGAAGACACAUGGCAGAUAUUUUUCAUAGAAUAUGUUUUGGCUUCUAGAGUUGAAAUUUAUUUUGUGUACUUUAUAAGAACCAUGUUCUAUCAUUUAUACUGCCCAAUAGUUGCCAGCGGCACACUGUUUGUUCUAUCCUCAAGGCACACACUAAGCCAGGUGAAGAAUUCGCUGGAAACCACUGCCAGAAAGUCGCAUAAUGACAUGCAUUUGGGAACAAAAUUUAAGUGCUAUUUACCUGAGAACAGAGGGAGUGAUUGCCAUUUGCCAGUGAUAUUAUUGCUUUAGUGUACUAGUACUGUGGUUACCUUAACUACAUCAUCCUACUUUAUGUCAAUUAUCUCAGUUCCUAUUUUCUUAAUAAUCUUGAAAUUUUUUAGUCUACUAUAAUUUUUUUUCUCUCUUAACAAAUUAAUAAUAGGUACUUGAUCUGCAUGAGCUGAAGAAAGCUGGUGACCGACUUAUUUCAGCACUUUCACUGGUAAUCAUAAUCCUAUUCUUAAAGUGUUUUGAAUAAUAAUUUCUCUGAUUUUUAUGGUCAUCCAACAUAUCUUUAUUGGGUUAGCGUCAACUACCUUUCGUAGUAUAUAUAGUAGUUUACUAUAUUAUGAUUGCAAAUUUAACGCUUGUAUGAGUAGCUUCGGUGACAUGUGCUGUUAUAUUCUUAUUUAGGCAAGGUAUUGUCAUCUCAAAGUAGUUAACCUUGAAUUUGCUCAAGAUAUUGAUGACCGGCAUUUCCUUCAUCUAAAAGAAAUGGUAAGAUUUGCACUGCUUUUGUGUAUUUUAGGUAUUUCUUAGCUCUGACAUGAAGCUGCAACUGGUUUGACAUGUGAUGAUUUACAGGGUGGUAUUGUACUAGAAGAGUUGGAAUUCAUGAACCUAAAUGCCUGUCAAAAAAUCUCUGACAAAGGAAUUGAAGCUGUUACCAGUCUUUGUCCAAAUCUUCGGGCCCUUUCUAUCUACUGGAUUGUUGGGUAUAUCACUUGCUGGAUGUUUUCUGUACAAUAGAUAACUUGCAGUUCCAAUCGUUAUACCUUUUCCUGUGUCAGGCUGAAAGACGCAAGCAUUGGACACAUUGUGAAGAACUGCAAGCAGAUAAUGGACCUGAAUCUGAGUGGCUGUAAGGUAGUGCUACUGUACCACACUUUUUUCUAGUUUACAUUGUUUCCAAAAAAAUUAAGACAAUAAUGCUGUCCACGGUUAUGUGAUGAUUCUACAUUUUCACAAUUAAAUCUGAGUGAGUGUAUAUAUUACAUCUGUUUCUGAUAACACAGGUUCUUGUAUUUGCAUUUGCAGAAUAUCUCAGAUAAAGGCAUGCAUCUAGUUGCUGAUAAUUAUCAAGGACUACGUAAGUUGGACAUAACCAGGUACAGUUAGAUGCCAGGAACUCCCUUUUCACUUCAUUUUUAACAUUCAUCAAAUUUGAUGGGCUUAGGCAGGAAACACAAUUUGGACAUCUGAAUAUCCUGCGAUAUAUUUGUAGGUGCAUUAAAUUGACUGAUGAUGGAUUUCAAGAAGUGCUUCAGCAAUGCUCUGCUCUUGAAAGUUUGAACCUUUACGCCCUUUCGAGGUAAUGUUCGAAAGUAUCCAUGACAGUAAAUUCUCUCUAGCAGUGAAUUAGAGCAUCUAACAACCUACUUCACAUCAUGCAGUUUAACCGACAAGGUUUAUACAAAGAUAGGAUAUUUAGCUAACCUUAUGUUUCUAGACUUAUGUGGGGCCCAGGUAACUGUUUUUUAUCUACUUUGAUGUUUGCACUGUCAAACCAUUUUGCUUACUAAUUCAGGGUUUCCAGAAUCUAACUGACGACGGCCUUGCCUGUAUAUCAAGAUGCGGAGGUUUGAAAUACCUCAACUUGACUUGGUAAAGCAAGAGCAAACUUUCUUUUUCUGUCAAUUAAAUGAAACUGUGUUGACCAAUGACCAGUCUCUGCAAUCACUUUCUCACAGGUGUGUACGUGUUACUGAUGUUGGUGUAGUAGCUAUCGCAGAGGGCUGCCGGUCCCUUGAACUACUAAGGUAAUGUACUAAUGUGGUAAUUUGUCCUAAAGAUAGUGCAUUCGUUGUGGCCUAUGCAUAUUGUAUUACAUUUAUGCAGUUUAUUUGGAAUACUUGGAGUAACUGAUGCCUGCCUGGAGGCUUUGUCAAAAUCUUGCUCAGAUGGUCUCACGACCCUUGAUGUAAAUGGCUGUACUGGUAUUAAGGUGAGGACUUGAGUAUUUGACUUUAAUUUAGUAUACUUCCCUCAAUUCCGUCAGUCAGCCCUCUCCUUUUCUAAGUUUCUUUUACUUGAAGCUCCCUCUUACCAUAAUGCCAUUAAUUAAAUUCACACCAACAUCAUAGUUUGUCAUAAUUCUCCAAGUGGCAUAUGGUAGAAACCAAGAACCCUAAAACAACCUAAAAUUUGGUAAAAGUUGAAGAACUAGAAAUUUAAUAUCGUCCGGCCUUUUGUCUAUAUUUCAUUUCUAAUUAGCCCAUGCCUUCAACUUCAUGAUUAGGUUAUCAACGUAAACUUGAUGGUUAAUACCAUAUAUCUAUUUAAUCCCCUCCGUCAUAUGUUAUGAGGAAGUUUCUUGAACACUUGUCUUAUGAGAAAGAGUAAAUUACAAAAACACCACAUUGGUGGCUAGUGUUUCAGUUCAGUACCAAUCUACGAUUUUUCUACUAAAAACCACCGGAUUUCCUUAACUGUUCGGUUGCUAACGAAUAACCCCAAAACUGAUGGGACGGGUCCACCGGUCAGGCCAACGUGGCGUCCAGCGUGGCAACUGACGGAACGGAUCUGCCAUCUCUCUCCUUCCGUCCUCUGUUCCCGAUCCAGAAGCUCCAGCCGGCCAUCGUCUUCCUAUCCGAUCCCCGCACCGCCGCCGCCUCGCUCUCCUUCCUCCUCUUCCCCCCGCCGAACGCCAACGCCACCAUGGCCGCCGUCGAGGAGCAGCGGGUGCACCCCUACACGCGCAAGUGGGAGCGACACCUCAUGGCUUCCAUGCACGAUCGUACGCGGCCAUGUGUGCUUGCGACGUGCUCCUGUGGUUAAGGAAAUCCGGUGGUCUGCAUCAAGAAUGAAUCAUCGAUGAAUUGUCCAAGGAAAAAGAACAAAAAUAAUCGAGGAAGAAGAUAAGAAAGACGUUGAGGCCGCAUAGGUCAGAGCGGCGGCGGCGGCUCGCGUGGGUCGAUGACGAUGCAGUGCCAGCGUUGGGGAAGACGAGGCGCGCGAGGGAGCUCCGUCAUCCGCUUGCUCUGCCGCUCCUAGAUAGGGAACCGAGACCAGUAACAGAGAGGGGGGAAGAAGAGAGAUGCACUUUUUCUUUUAUUGGGGAGCCCCACGUUGGCCUGACCAGUGGACCCGCCCCAUCAGUUUCGGGAUUAUUCGCUAGUAACCGGAAACUUAGUGCAAUCCGGUGGUUUUUAGUAAAAGAAACGUGAACCGGUACCAAUCUACAACCCUAGCCACUGAUGUGCUGGUUUCUUACUGUAUGAGAAAUAAAAAUAAAUAAGCUAUAGCUAUUGUGCAAUCUAACCUUUAAUAUUUAAUUACUUAGAGGUUUAUAGUCUGAUUUCUUAGUGUAUUGCAUCAUUUCUGCCAUUUAAUUGUUUGACAGAGGAGGAGCCAGGAUGACCUGAUUCAGCUGUUCCCGCGCUUGUGUUGUUUCAAGGUGCACAGCUAGCCUUGGAAUUUUCUACAGUUCAUAUUUCCCCUAGUUGGCACUUAAAGCAUCACCGAAAAGUCUCAUUUUUGCCACCCGCUAAUUGCUUGUGUAUUAAUAUGAGAGAGUCACAUAACUUGUAUAAUGAUUUUGUAAUAUGCUUGAUAUGCCUCGUUACAUUGUUAUGAAGUUUGAAGUUGAAGAUGAUAUUCUUGUAAUUUCUACAGUCACGUCAUUGAGUUUUUAUAUCACAUAUACGAACGGCUAUUUGUGUUGACUGAGUAUGUUAAUUUUCCUUCAUUGGAUGCGGGCUAAGGACAAGCUUGCCGCCCGGCCACCAGCAUCUGUUGCUAGCCGGUGCCAAUCACCUCGCCACCCAGCCGCUGCAACCGGGGCUGCCGUAGUCAAACGUCGCCUCACAGGCCACUGUGCGCUGCUCGUCCAGCAGCAUCCGUUGCUCGCCGGUGCCAAUAACCUCCCCGCCCAGCCGCCGCCCGUCGCAACGGGCUGCCCUAGUCAGAUGCCAGACCUCGCCUCACCGUGCGCAGCUCAGAGACCAGUAACCUAGGUACUCACAGAAGCUUUACAUGGGAGCGGUGGAGAGAAGAAGAACCGGAGAAGAUGAAGAACCUUGAACUGGACACAGCGCCUGUCGUGGUGGGGAUUUGGCUGUGGAAGAGUAAGGAAGAUGGUGCAGCAGCCACACGGGAGAGUUAACGCUUGUUAGGUUUGUGGGCUAACGACAUGGGCUUGACCCUUGAUUAGUGGAUCUAUCGGUUCCCUUGAUUGCAGCCUUUCAUUUGCUUUAAUAAUUGUGCAAAAAAAUAUUCCCCGGAAAGCACAGAAUCACUUCCGUUUUCCAACGAAAGAAGUUUCCCAUGAAAUUAAAUUCAACAAAUAGUUCAUCAGCAAGUUAGGCCACUCCCAAUGCGUCUCUUAGCACGUCAUCUUACACAUUGUUGACAUGACACCAUCUUAAUGAGGAGACUGUCUCUUAUACUAGCGACCGUCUAUUCACACAAAUCAACACAAAAUCAUUAAAUCUCUCUCUCAAAGUUAUUAAAUUUCUACUAUUUUAGAUACUACCUUAAGAGACAAUGUAUUGGGGAUAUGAUUUCUUAACAUUUAUUGUGGACUAUGAGAUGGCACCUAAGAGACGAUGCAUUGGGAGUGCUCUUAGAGAACAUACCAAAGGACCAUUUUUUUGACGAAACAACAAUUGAUAGGUUAUUUAUUGCUAAGAUGUGUUUGAUGAAGCCUACGCAAGAAGACUCGGAUGGGCGCCCGGAAUAUCAAGGAUCGAUCAGGAUUAACUCGAGUUUUUCUAGUGUUUGUUUUCCUGUUGUCUGAGAUAUGCAUGGAUGUAAUGUCGUUUGGCCGACCGUUGUGUUUCUUUUGUUCUGCUCUCUUGCCACUCCCUCCUAUCCAUAUGAUCGGAGGGAGUAGCUGUCUGUACUACUGAAUUUGAGUCGGUUUCUUUAUUGAAAAUCUUGAAGAGGCUUAUUGUUUCAAAAUUAUUUUUUUGCUGAAAGUUGUUUCUUUUUCUUCUUCGGUGCGGUUUUUUAUUUUUGUAAAGCGAUGCUUACUUGUCGUCUUUCUGGGUUUCUUAGGCUAGCGUUAACAAAUAAAAUAGAGAAAUGCUACCAGUGGCCGAAGUCGACACAAAUAAAAAAAAUCUACACCUAAUAAUAAAGGAAGGAGCGUUUCGCGAGGAAAACCGCUGCUCCGUUAAAAAAGACGGAUGGUCCCACGGUAAAUGAUACGUGGCUCGGCAACAAUGGCACACUCGAUGCCGGUGCGCGGGGUGGUGGAAGGGCUGCGCGGGUACCUGGAGGAGGUGAGCCACAUCAUGCGGCUCAGCCGACGGCUGCAGCUUUGCUCCGCAAGAUCCUCCCCCCAAGCUCUCCACCCACUUUGCCCCGGUCGAAGGCGGCCACUCCAAGGUGACGGCGAUGAUCUCCGUCGAGAUCCUCCCCCAAGCUCGACGUCCCCCGGUGACCCGGUCGAUCUCCUCGCUCCCCACCGCCUCAGGCCCUCUCCGUAACAGCCGUCUCCCGUCUCCCGUCUCCCGCUGAAGCGGGAUCUAAUCGCGAAGUGUUCAGAACCUUGCAACUGACUGUCUUGUUUUGAUCGUUCACAGUAGAACACCAACCAGACGAUCCCUUGAAUAAUGAGGGGAAUCACAGCAAACAUACCAACGCCAGGAUGGGAUUCGAAGGAGCCGACUUGGGAACCAGGGACAGGUGUGAUUACUAAUUGACUGCAGCCAUGGCCGGUCAACUUGAUGCAUGCUUGUGGCUGGACAACACGUAUGACGUAUGCAUGCAAGCAACUGAAUGAACAUCUUGCAGAUCCAGCAGGCGCCGUCGGCCUUCGUACCUCCUUGUACUCCAGUGGGUACCAAACGAUGGCUGCCGUGGCCUGGCCGCGAAAGCCAUGUAUAUAUAUCUGUUGGUUGGCGUAUGUGAGACGCACUGGAAAGCCGGUCGUGGUGAUCGACCGAGGCAUAGGUUUUGAUGCAUCGAUCGAGAUUAAAGGUGACAUAUUUUCAAGUAGUGUUCAUCCAUACACAUAUUUACAAGAAGGGGGCGCCUAGGGAGUCCGCGCGCACUCCCUGGCCUUACGGGGUGCUCUUCCACUAUUCUCUAUUUCCAUAAACAGCAAUACGCGUCCGCAGGGGGAUCCCUCGUCUGUGUACAACUUUCUGCAUGCUCUCUUUACGAACUAGGACCAUCAAAACUACAAAUAAUUCACAGAGUGCACUACGGCAUUCACAACUUGUAGGAACUUUUGGCCCGACAAAUUUGCGUUUCAGAGCAAAGUUGCAUCACGUAGAUUUUCCUCUUUCUCUUAGUAUUAUAUCAUGUGAAAAAGCUUCAACCAUAUCUCUCGCCUCACAUAGUCAUAUGUGACUCUGUUUUCUUACACUAGCAAGUAGCAACAGGUGGUUCAUGCUCCUUAAUUACUGUCUGAGCUCAUUUUGUUCUUGAAAUGUAGCUUUGUCCUCGGUCUAUUAGUUUUCAAACUUCCGCCUUUGGCCUUCCUCCCUGCACUCACUUCAACACUAUCUUUUGAAUAAAUACUCCCUCCGUUCCAUAAUUCUUGUCGAAAUCUUACAUGUAUCUAGACACCUUUUAGAAAUAGAUACAUCCAUUUUUGAACAAAUUUGAGACAAGAAUUAUGAAACGGAGGGAGUACAUAACCUGUUGAACACCCCAAAUUAAAGAACACAGAGGGUUACGACACAAAGUCAAAUGACUUGACCCAAUAACAUGAUAAAGUUACAUGUAACUUAGAUGAACUAAUCAUAUACAGUUAGUACACAUAUCUAUUUUUGUGCAUUACUUAUCGUCAUAUUUAUGAUCAUUAUCGUUUGAACAUCAUGCUUUCACACAUAAUUUAUUACUUCCAGUAUUUCAGGAGACUACAUUAGCAUAGUAACUAAAAUGACAUAGGAAAAAGUGAUGCCCUAAUGAUCUGUAUGCAUGCCAAUAAUAAAGGUUGCAUGUAUCAAUUGUUGAGAAGUUACAUUUAAGUUCUCUUCUCAUAAUUUACAUGUACCUAGCCACCGAAACUUCACCAAAACUACAUGAAUUCUUGCAAAAUUUACAUCAUGCAUCUGUACAUUGAACAUAAAGGUAUAGAACAUGCUAUAGAACUUACAUCAUGACCAUGCAUAUCGAUAAUUAAGGUCAUAAAUUCAACAUCUCAGAAUUUACAUCUACCUAGCUAGUCACUAAAACUACAUGGAGCUGCUGUAAAACUACAUCUUGCAUAGGCAUACCAGAAUUAAGGGGUAUAAUCAUCGUGUUAGCAUGUAAAACUAUAAAUUCUUGCUGUAAAACUACAUCUUGCAUGAUGUAAAACUACAUCUUGCUGUAAAACUAUAAGUUCAACAUCUCAGAAUUAAGGGUAUAAUCAGUGUGUUAGCAUGUACUUUAGUGCUAAUCAAGCACGGACAAGUCACAGCAAGCAAGCACAAAAUUGCUAGCAGAACAUCACUCAAGUAUCAAUAUAAUCAAUCAAGCAAUCACUACUCCGUAUAUAGCAACCCCAAUUAGAUCACAUAUCAUCAGUACUUACAUAAAUACAUCUAAGAGAUCAUGAAAGUAACUCCUCAGAUAAAAACUACAUCUACUGAACUCAUGAAAGUAACUCUUAACAUGAAACUACAUCCAGCAGAACCAUAAAGUAACUCUUAACUGGGAACUACAUCCAGCAAAACCAUAAAGUAACUCUUAACAUAGAAUUUACAUCUGAGCAAGUUUAGGCAAACACUGACAUAGCUUACAUCUAGAUCUUGUUCGGUUAUUCUCCUCACCAAUGGCGACGGCAAGAUCGUCAAGCUACUAGAGCCAGCAUCGAUUGCUCAAAAACCCACAAUCCAGACAAGUGAGAGAAGCUGGGAAGAAGCAGCGGGCUACCGUCUGGCAGGGAAGGCAGGCGCGGGCGACGGCGAUACCAGCGUCGAGGAGGCACAUGGGCUCCACCUCCGGCAGCGACACCACGUCAAGCAAAACAAAUCAAAGCGGGAACUAUUCAGCAGUACCAAAUGGCACAUAGAACUUGAGAAAGAAAUUAUGUCACCUGCCCAGCACCAAGCUCUCGUAUCUAAUCAUCCAACUAAUUAAUCAAGACCACUGAAGGUACCGUAACCAAACUCCACACUUUGCAAUUUGCGGCAAAAUAAUCAGCCGGCCAACAAGCAACCUCUAAACCAAUAUGCAGUUAUCAAUCAGUCGGUUAUCAAGCAACAUCAACUAGAGAUCAAUUUUAAAUCAGCCAACGAGAAGAAGCAAGUAGCAAUCGGCUUCCAAUCAGGUAGUGCUAGCGCUACAGAGACUGCACAGGCGUUUGUUCCUUCCCAUUGACAGUAAACGGCAGAAGCAAUCAAUCGAUUUCAGGAGCACUGGACUAAUUGAAAGGCUGUACUAAUCCAUCCGUAGGAAGCUACACCGGCAAUCCUCUUAGGCAUCAACCACACGAGCUUAUACCUGACAGCAGUGAUGAAAGCAAAUGACGACGACGACGGUACGAACCAGCGACCAACGUGAGUAGUUGCGGCCUGCGGAAACCCGGGCGGCAGAAGCGGCGCGAGGAAGUAAGCCGCGAUGGCGGCGCUGCAGCAACAACCCUAAGGCGCAGGCGGCUGGUAUUUGGGGAAGAGAUAAAGUGCCGGGGGCUGGGGGCGGUGGCAACUAGGGAGGCCUGGUGUGGGGGCGCGCGGGAGUGGGGCGCGCCGGCGGCGGCUGCGGAGGCCGGGGCUUGGGUCGCGCCGGCUGCGGUGGGGGAGGCCGGCCGGGGGCUGGGGUGGCGCCGGCGGCGGCAGGGGAGAAAGGAGGCGAGGCGUGCGGGGGUGGGGGUGGGGGAGACGAAGGGGAAGAAAGGGUUGAGUGAGUUGAGGGACGAGUAGUGUCAAGUGAGCGCUUUGCGUGACUAGAAAGUGCGCACGCACAGAAUAGAAUCGCCGUUGCAAGAAUCAACUUUACCAAGUGUAAGUUCAAUAUUAUAAAGGUGGGAGUUUUUUUUUGUGAAGUAUAUACUUCUACACCACAGUUCAUUGGAAAUUGCCCAAUUGAUUCAAAAUUUUUUUACGGAAGCCCAAUUGAUUCAAAUCUCCUGACGAGCUUUAUGUUUUGUUUUUCCAAUAUAAAUUAGGAGGAUAAAUCUUUACAUGAUUGCUUCUCGGUCUUAUCUCCAAUAGUGCGUGUCAAACAUUGUAUCUCCAUUAGCCCCUAUCCGGUCUGGUCUUUGGUUACGCAUGAGACACAAUGUUUUGACAGGUUCUUGGGAAGAGGUAAUAUCCUAAUCUUGUGGUUUGGUUGACCGUAUUGAUGGUAUCUAGAACAUAUGUCACCAUAUAAGAUAGGAAUUAUCGAGAUUUCUAGCGUUCUGGUGUACGCUGAGAGUCAUAACUAUCGAUGACACCUACACUGUCGUGGGUAGGGAGCCCAAAUCGAUUUUUACAAGGAUUCAUUUUAAAGAGACGGUGUGCCGCGCGUGUACACUUAGUAUAUGCAUCGAUUGUCAAAUUUUGACAUUCAAUCGAAAUGAAUUUUAACUUAACAAAAGUCAUUAUGACUGAAUAUCAAAUUAUGUUGUUAUCUUUUUAUAAAGGUGAAUUUUUACGUGCAUUAUGUUGACACAUGUGAAAGCAAAAAAUAAAUUAAGAAUCCGUGGCAACGCACCGGCAUUGUACUGGUAUCCUAAAAAGGUGAUCAAUAGAUUAGAGAAAAGUCUAUUUUGAACCUUAACCUUGUAGAGGUCGUUUGAUUUGAACCCUAACCUCCUAAUCCCUGAUUUUCAGCCCCUAAUCUAUGUAAUCCGGGUCGUUUAACCCCUUAAUCCCGGAUUAAGCCGUUUGAUCGACCGGGUUUGAUCACGCGGCGCCGGGAUUGCUGAUUUAGGACGGGACUUUAGAUGGGCUUUAGUAAAAUGGCGGCCCUUUUCGUACCUUCAGCCCGUGUAAAGAUACCUAACUCCUCGUUUCCAUCUCCGUUCUCUCUCCCGUGACUGUUGCUCUUCCUCCCAAAACACGCGAGGCGGCAAUGGCGACCGGCAGAUGAUCACGGUGGAUUCGAGACGAUCGACGCUCAAGCGAACGAAAAGUAAGUGCCCUACAUGCUUCUGGUUGAGUCGUGUUCGAUUACAACCAUCUUGAGAUUUUUGGAUUUUAUACCAAUAAAAUUGGGGUUUGGGAGGCACAGAUUAGGGCUUAUUUUGCUGUUGAUUACUAGAUAUUUAAGUGCAUCAGAUGGGUAUUAGAGACGGUUCUGAACUGAUAUUCGUUUGCAUUGUAGGCGACUUUGUCUGAAUGGAUCCCGCGGAGGUGUUGAAUGUGCGAUUUCAUUUUGGUGGAGAGUUCGUCCGCAUAGGACCACGACUGGAUUAUGUGGGUGGGGAUGAAGCAUUGUCCGUGAUUGAGCGCGACAAAGUGUCAUUUCCAGAGUUGAAAGGGCACCUUGCUGAUCAUCUAACACUGAACGAGAACAAGAAAAUACAUUGGCUUCUUCCUGGAAAAGAACUGAAUGAUGGUUUGAUGUUCUUGUAUGAUGACACUGGUUGCUUAAGAAUGUCUCAGAACAUAACAGACGGAGGAGUUGCUGAUAUCUUUGUGGAGUUUAAUACAAAUGAGCCAGACUCCAGCACAGAUAGUGGUAGCAAUUAUAAAGAGGGGGAUGAGGAAAGCAGUGAGUUCCAUAGCGGUGAAGAAAUUGACGAUUUCCCAGAGCCUAAUUCUGUCCUUACUGCAGAUUCAAAUGGAGCUGUGGUGGUUAUUGAUCUAACAGAAGCCAAUGAUAAGGUGUUAGUGCCAAAUGAUGAUGGGGUGAUUACACAGGUUUUCAGAAGCCCAACAAAGAAGAGUCAACAUGCGGCAGAGAAAGAGAGAGGAGUAAGAGGACAUGCAUUGGAUGUAAGUAGUUCACAACUGGGAAUAUCUGUGAUCACUAGAUCUAGUCAGGUUCAGGAUUCAGAUGCGGUGCCACCAGUCCAGAAUGUUGCAGCAGCUCCUACUGUAGUACAAGAAGAAUUGGCAGCAGAUGUAGAGAACAGUGAUAGUAGCAGUGAGGAUAGUGAGUACCAACCACUUAGUGAUGACAGUGAUGAACAUUCAAAAAUAGUGGAGCUAAGAAAGCAUGCAAGGAUGUACAAGAAGAGAAUUAGGUCAUCUCAGAGAUUUGUUGCAUCUGGGUCCAGUGCAGCAGUGCCAAUUGAUUUGGUUGCCAAUGUAGAAGAGGUGGUCAUGGAAGCUGAAUUUGAUUCAGAGGAAGAAGAUUAUUCUUAUGAUGAUGAUCCUGAUGGAGGAGAUGACCACUUUGUGAGAAGAAAGAGUAAGUACCCAAGAUAUAACAACAAAUCUGACGUGCCACACUUCAGUUUGUCAAUGGUUUUCAGCAGCAAACAACAGAUGAGAAAGGCAUUGCAGAAAUACGGUCUUGUCACCAAAAGGAGUAUAGUGUUCUUGAAAUCAGAAGAGAACAGAGUUAGGGCAAAAUGUGGUUGGCCUGGUUGUCCAUGGCUCAUCUAUGCAGCAAAGAGGAGUAGAUGUAGCAGGUUUCAAGUCAUUACCUACAUGGAUGAGCACCAUUGUGCACAGAACAGGGAUAAUAAGUUAGUGACUGCGAAGGUCAUUGCAAAGAGGUAUGAAAACUUCCUUAUGGCAAAUCUUACUUGGAAGAUUGAUAGCAUGAAGACAACAGUGUUGCAAGAGAUGUUUGCUGAUGUCACUUCUUCAAAAUGUAAAGCUGCAAAGAAAAUAGUAAUGGAGAAGAUGUUUGCAGGGAUGAAAGGGGAGUACACUAAAGUGUUUGAUUACCAGCUGGAACUACUUAGGAGCAACCCUCUGUGAGUCUUUCAACCAUGCAAUAGUAGAUUCAAGGUUUUAUCCAAUCAUAUCCAUGCUUGAGAAAAUCAGAUGCAAAAUGAUGAUUAGAAUUCAAGAGCAAAGGACCAAAUGUGAGAAGUGGCAUGGGAUAAUAUGCCCCAACAUUUUCAAGAAACUGAAAGUGAGUAUCAAGCUGAUUGCAUGGUGUGAUGUCCUAUGCAAUGGCAAAGAUGGGUUUGAGGUCAAACACACCAGUGGUAGAGGUAGAAGGUACACUGUUAAUUUGGAGAACAGAACAUGCUCUUGUGGAUAUUUUCAGUUGGCAGGUUUGCCUUGCUGUCAUGCCAUAGCAGCUAUAUACAAAUGUGGCAGAAAAGUAGAUGAGUACAUUGACAAAUGCUUCUACAUUGAAGAGUUCAAAAAGACAUAUGAGCAUUGCAUGGAACCGGUAGAAGGAGAGGACAAGUGGCCCAUUUCUCAAAAUCCAAGGCCAAAGGCACCAGGUUAUAUUAGGAUGCCUUGCAGGCCUAAAAAGAAUAACAGGAAGAGGGAAGAUCAUGAGAAACCAAAAGGAAGAAAAAUGACCAAAGUUGGCAUCCAAAUGAGGUGUGCAGUUUGUCAUAAGACAGGACACAACAAGGUUAGUUGCUUGAAGAAGAAAGAAAAGGAAAUAAUAGCAAUGCUUUCAUUUCCAAAGCUGGGAAAAAGAUUAAGGCAGCAGAGGUAUUUCUUCUUCUUGUUGCCAAUAACUGUGUUUAUAUUGCAGAUUAUCUAGUUAGCAAAGCUUGGAAAAUUGACUAUUAAGUUGCUUUUUUUCUGCCUUUUCAGCAAGCACAAACAGACUUGACCACAUCUGCCAGCCAAUCAGCACAGGCUAGGGGAAAAAAGCCUAGCAGUACUGUAGCAGAAACAAGUGGCAGGAAGAGAAAGAAGCAAGAAGAUGGAAAUGUGUUCAAGGAAAGCAAGGAAAGGCAAAGAAAAAAUGAUGUGUGUGAAACUGGAAGAGAUGUCAAACUGUAAUGGUUCUUUUCGUCAUAUGUGACAUAUGUGUGCUGGGAUGUUUGUUGGUUUUUAUGCUAAACUAUAACCGGAAUGCUACUUUUGGUGAUAUGCGUGCUAGGACAGGUUGAAUUCUGUGAUAUUGUUGGGCUGAAUGCCAAUAUCUGUGAUGUUGCUACUUACAACUAUGUUGUUGUGAUGGUCAGCUUAUUUUUGUGUCAGUUUGGUCAUGUCAGUUAUGGUCAGCUUUGUCAAAUAUUUCAUAUCUCAUUUAUGUGCUAUGCAUCUGUAUUUGGCCAUUUGUCCAUAUUUCUGUGAUAUUUGGUCAUUUGGCUUAAUCUGUAGCCAAAUUCAGACAAGACUCGUAUAGCUACUGCAAUUACAAAAUAACUGAAACCAGUGCACUUCAUUACAACUUCAGGUGCUCCAAUUUACAUCAGUGCAUCACAAAGGCAACUAGAUAGCCCGACAGAAAUAUGACCAUUGCAUACAUCAGUGCAUCACAAAGCCUAUUUUUCUCUAAUUUUGCCGAUAAGGCAUCAAUUGCACGAUCCUUCUCGUACAGAAGCUUCCUCAGUGCAUCACUUUCAGCAUCCUUCAGUGCCAGUGCUUCAAUGUUCGAUCCAUUGCCAGGGACGCCGAUGGCGGCCACCACCACUAUGGCUAAUGGCUUCCUCAUAGCCGACCGCACGGUCUCCCUCACGUCCUGCUCCCUGCUCCACGGCCCGCCGCGCCGCCGAGCCCCACGCAGCCGUGCUCCGCGCGCCGCCGAGCCCCGCGCUCCGCCGUGCCCCGCGCGCUUCCGUGCCCCACGCGCCGCCGAGCUCUGCGCGACCGCGCCGUCGCCUCUCGCUUGCCCUCCUCUUGCUGAACCCUAAUUUCAUUCCUCAAUUGGCUUCAGAGUUCGGACGAACGGGUACGAACAGCGAUCCCGCGUGGGACCCACCUAAUGAGCUGGAUCAGCAAUCCCGGCGCCGCGUGAUCAAACCCGGUCGACCAAACGGCUUAAUCCGGAGAUUACAUAGGUGGGGCCGAAAAUUAGGGAUUAGGAGGUUGGGUUCAAAUCAGACGACCUCCACGAGGUUAUGCCGUGCGCGUCCAAAGCUUGUGAGGGGAGAGCGGCGCCUGCUGGGUUCGUUCCAAAUCCCGGAAAAAAGACUUUAUUAAUUAAGUCAGGCUGGCAAAUCAUCAGCUGGGCACAACAUUAGGAAAGCCGACCAACCCCAAUAAUUGUCUUUCUACGAAGCUUCCCAUGACCUUCAUACCUCUCGCUGGCCAACUCCCACUGUAGAAGUGUAGAUCGUGAGGCUAUGGGCUGUGGAGCACGGUGAUUCCUCCCCUCGCCUGCUGCUUCGCAUCCGAGGGCGCUCGGGGUUUUUUGCUUUGUUUUCUGGGGAAGAUUCAUUGGAAUCUGGAAUCGGCCGCACGAUCUUGGUUGGGGCUUGCACCGGUAAACCUUUGCUCUAUUUUACGGCAUCUUUGUGUGCACGUCCUUGAUUUCUCCUGCGAUCCUUUUUAUGUUCUGUUCGGUAGCGACCGCUAGUUCCACCGUCCUUUCUCCCCGCCGGCCUUGUUCUCCUUAGGCCUUGCUCAGUUGCUUGGUACUAAAUUUUUUUGGAGUGUUUUCUCAGUUAUUAUCAAUCCCAAAAUGAAAAACACUAGAAACCUUAAAGCCUUGUUUGGUGGUACAAGAGUUUUUGGAUGUUUUUAGGGUAUUAUUCACUCCAAAUUGAAAAACACUAGAAACCCUGAAUUGUUAUUUGGUAGGAUGGGUUUAGAGAGAAUUAUUCCUAAUUUCUCCCACAAAACACUCAAUUUUUUACCAAAUUAAAACACUUCUCACACUAGUGUUUUCUUAAAAACACUAGUGUUUUAGGUUUAUUAGAUUUUGGAUGAACACCCAAACCCCUCAAAUAUCAAAACACUAGUGACUAAAAAAUACACUAACACCAAACAAAGUCUAAAUAGUUGUUUGGUAGAAAGAGUUUAGAGUGGAUUAUUCCUAGUUUCCCCCCACAAAACACUAUACAUUUCUUUAAAAUAGUUACGGCUUACUUUUUUUUUAUAGGAAAAACACAGUACAUACGCAAUCACUCACACACAUACGCACGUACACUCACCCAGUCACCCCUAUGAACGCACGCACGCACACCCUACCCCUAUGAGCACCUUCGAGAGACUGAGCCACCGGCCGAUCAUCUUGAGAUUGACGAAAUCACCACAGGCGCCUCGUAGUUGACGGGUACGUCACUCCCACUAAAACACAACGCCGGUUAAAAUCUGAAAUAAAUCCUGAAAAUGCAAGCACCCAUGUCAAGUCUGGGACUUGAACCUGGGUGGGCUGGUUCCACCACAAGAAACCAACCACCUGAAUUGGGCUCAGUUCGAAAAAAAAACACUAUACAUUUCUGUACCAAAUUAAAGAGCUCUUUUACGGUACCCCAAAAUUACUAUGGACCGUCUAUUCGAUGUAAUCUAAUGGCUAAUACUGCAUGGUCCUCCAUCAGAAAUUUUUAGGACUACGGGACCAUCAGAAAUUUUUAGGACUACGGGACCAUCAGAAAUUUUUAGGACUACGUACUAUAAAUAGGUGGACUACCUUAAUGUGAAGGGCAAAAUUGUGCCAGUUGGGAGAUCUUGUGGAAGAUCAGAUUUUUUUGUUUCCUAAAUUACUGGAUGAUCAAUUUGGAAAGCUAAUGGGGAGAUCGCAUAGGAGAGGCCGCUGGCUUGCCGUAGAGUUGCCGGUGGAUGGAAUUAGAUCGAUCUGGCCAUAGGAAUUGAAGAAGAGGAAGUACUAGAAUUGUUAAGCGGACGAUUGAUCUGGGGUAAGGAAUGAAUGAAAUUGGAGGUUGAUGUCUUCCCGCCGGCGAGGAUCGAGAGUAAAUUAGUACCGCGGACGGCGGUGCGUGUCUGCGAGGGCGAAGGGGACACCAGGCCAGGUCGAUUGAAAAAAAAAAGACAACUGAAAAGUCUAAAUAUCCCUCCCAUAUGGACGGUUGGAUUUGUUUGGUACUCAUUUCUAUACAAUGGAGUGAUAGGAUACUGUAAAAACUCUCAAAUUAAAACACUUCUCAUUUGGUAGGAUGAACACCCAAAACCCUCAAAUACUAAAACAGUAGUGACUAAAAAUACACUAACACCACCACCCCGUCACCCAGAUGAACCCAAUGCCACAUGAGGUGGCACAACCACGACAACUAGAGCCACCGCCACAGCGCUACCUCUUGCCACGUCAUGCAUCUCCCGGAAGAAAGUCCCUGUCACCGAUGACGCCAUGGGGCCUUUGCCCAGCAGCGCCCUCCGCCGGCCUGUGGCAAGGGAGUGGCGGCGGCUUAGCGUUAGAUGAGAAUUUCGCUCGUUUGGUGUAUCCGAGUGAUGCGUCCAAUAAUUUGCUUAUUAUUGCCGGUUUUACAAAAGAGCCAGAAACUACUGAAGACACAAACUUAUCAAAAUAUAGAUGUAUCUAUACCCAAAGAGCGUCUAGAUACAUGUAUUUGGUCACUUAAUAUAAGACGGAGGGAGUAUGUUUAGUUCUUUACAUGUUGUUUGUCGCAGUGACAAGUAAUUCCGGCCAGAGAGAGUACUUUAUUUUUUGACAUUUUGUGUGAGAUCUUGCCACGCGGUUUUAUUACUUUAGUAGAAAGUUCAAUUGACUAGACCUGUACAUGGUCGGGGUCUUGCAUGCUCUAGGUCGUCCCUUUUUCUGAAGACUUUGGUUUUUCUAAACCCAACCAACAAGUUCUGUACUUUCAAGAAAACAUAAAGUUUGGGUCUAAAGGCAUUGAUAGAAAAAGGUAUUUAUAAGUCCAAAAACGGGCCGAGACAAUUGAAUACUCAAAACAAGACGACGUCCAAUGGUCGCAAGUCAAAACAUCACAAUUAGCACCACCAAACAACCUAAGACCUAGAUGCCAACCACACAAACGUACCGGAUGCAAAAAAAAAAAAACCCACUAAGACUUUGCUGAAGGAAACGAGAAUCCAACUGUGAAAAGAGGCAAAGUUGUGACACUCCUGCUUUGGAGACGGCAAGUUGAUGCCUUGUGUUUUAGGAUUUUGUAUGACAGUUUCUUUGGCAAUAAAUAACCCAUCGAUGGUUGUUUCGUCUUAAAAAGAAGAGUUCAUGAUCCUUCCGUAUGUUCUCUAACUUGCUGAUGAACAAUUUAUUGUGAUUAAUUUUAUGGGAAAUAUCUUUUGUUGGAACAUAUCUAGAACAAAUAAGUAAUACAAUAGCUGGAUUCUUAUAUACCUAACCAAAAUUUUAGUUCGAUAAUGUUGAUUGCGUCUACAAUGCUAAUUGUGUCCAAUUCUCUCGCAGAACGAAACUAAUCUUCCAGACUCCAGUUAGCAUGGGCUUAUCAAAGGCCAUUGGGGUCAUUAGCGGCAUCAAUGAAUGUGUAAACUUGUUUCAGUGGGCCAGAUCUGCCAUUUCAUCUCUGCACUCCCGAUGGAGUGGCUCAGAGGAGCAAAAUCUUCAGGAUCAUGUAUUGCACUUGCAGAGUGGCCUAGAACGUCUGAGGGAUACUCUUCCUGCAGUGUACGACCUCAUUAAUGGAGCAGAGUGGAGAUGCCACGAACACUGUGUGGCCGAGCUCCUUCCGAAACUCAAGGAUGCUGUGUAUGACGCCGAUGACCUUCUUGAUGAGUUCAGAUGGUACGAGAUGAAGCUGCAAGUGGAGGGAAAUGCAAGCCAAUCUCCUUUCAUUGACUUCUUUGAUACUGUCUUUCAAGGCAGCUACAACAAACUGAAUGAUGUCCAAGAAAGGCUGGAUCGUCUUUCCAGUCAGCUGGAGAAGAUGGGGCUGCGUCAAGUUACGCAACGUUUUGACAGAUCAGUCAGGCCGGAGACCAGCUCAUUGCCAAAUGAAACAAAAAUAUUUGGUCGUGACGAGGUGAUGAAGCAGGUGAUGGGACUUCUCAAUGUCCCUACCAUUUCAAAACGCAAGAGAGCAAGGAGCCCAGUCAAUACAUCAACAAGAGCAUCACCAAGCAACCAAGUUGGUAAUGAAUCAAGAAUAUCGAGUCUUGCUGUUUUGCCAAUAGUUGGAAUUGGUGGUGUUGGAAAGACUACUUUGGCCCAACAUAUCUGCAGUCAUCAACGAGUCAAGUCUCACUUUGAACUGAUUAUUUGGAUUUGCGUCUCGGAUGACUUUGAUGUGAAGAGGUUAACUAAAGAAGUCAUACAAUCCUGUCCUGGAAAAGAGGCAACAACUGAUAAUUUGGAUUCUCUUCAGCGUGCUCUUUCUAACCAUGUGAACAACAAAAGGUUCUUGAUAGUCCUUGAUGACAUGUGGGAUGAUGCCUUGAAGGAAAAUGGGCAGCGUUGGAAGACGUUUUGUGCACCUUUUAAACGUGUCAAAGACGGAAGUAUGAUUUUGGUCACCACUAGAUGUCCAAAGGUUACCGAGGGAGUGCGCACAAUGGAGCCCGUUAAAUUAGAAGGUCUAAAGGAUGACGUAUUUUGGAAUUUCUUCAAACUGUGCGUGUUUGGAUCUGAGAGUUCUAACAAUGAUCCAGAGUUAGAGCACAUUGGUAGAACCAUACUUCCAAAAUUGAAGGGUUCUCCUUUAGCGGCCAAAACUCUUGGACGCAUGUUAAGAAUGGAUCUCCAAGCACCACAUUGGAAUGUUAUACUUGAGAGUGAACUGUGGGAGUUGAGACAAGAGGAGACUGACAUUUUGCCUGCCCUUCGGUUGAGCUACAUGUAUUUACCAUUCUAUUUGAAGCAAUGCUUCUCAUUCUGUGCUGUGUACCCCAAAGAUUACAAAUUUGAGAAGAAGUACUUAGCUGAAAUUUGGGUAGCAGAAGGCUUUGUGGAACAUCAAGGUGAUGUUCCAGUUCAAGAUAUUGGUCAUCAGUACUUUGAAGAGCUUGUAACAAGGUCAUUCUUCCAAAAAGUUAGAGAUCGAUACGUAAUCCAUGACUUGCUGCAUGACAUGGCACAAAAAGUUUCAGAGGAUGACUGUUUCAUCCUAAGGAACAAGAGCGAUUUCGAUAAAGUUCCUAAGAAUGUUCGUCAUCUGUAUGUACUCCCGAGCAGUGACUUUGACAAUACCAACCUGUUGAGCCUAUGCAAGUACAGAAAGCUUCGAACCCUGUUUUGCAAGAAGCAAUUAGGGAAGAAAACAGGUUCUGUAAUGGACCACUGGUGUACAGAACUUCAGCGUAUGCGUGUGAUUUCUUGUGCCUCUACAAAUGAGGUACCAGAUAGUAUUGGGAAAUUGAAGCAUCUUCGGUACCUCGAGAUCUCCAGAGCUUGUCCUUUCAAGAGCAUUCCUUCAACUUUCUGUGGGCUCUAUAAUUUGCAGAUCUUUAAUGCCGCGAAAUGCAAGCUAGAAGGCUUGCCCAGUGAAUUUGCUAAGUUGAUCAGUUUACAGAAAUUGGUACUAGAUGGAUUCCAAUAUUGUUCGGGGUUGUCUUUUCCCAAAGAAUUUAAUGCAGCGGAAGGGGAACAAGGAAUUAGAUUGAUUAGAUUACUAAAGAAUCUGAACCAAUAUUGUGGACAUUUGGUCAUCAGAAAUAUUGGCAUGCUAAGUAAGGAUCAGGCAGCAGAAGCUGAACUGAAGAACAAGAAAUGUCUUGAUGAGUUGACACUGGAUUGGUCUUGUUGGGCGUCACGAAGCUCCCAUUAUUAUCAAAUCAGCCAACACAAUGAGAUAGAAGUGCUUCAAGUUCUGCGACCUCCUAUCUCUCUCAAGCAUCUGUCACUAUCGUUAUCCAGGUGUCUCCCUCUCAAGCUGGUCUCAGACAAAAAACUUGCCAAGCAUAAACUUAAAUGAGGUGCCUGCGGUUCACUACAACGAUGGUAUUUUCCAGUCCCUGACAAAUCUAACCAUUGACGGGUGCCAACAUUUAUCAAGCCUCGAACAUGUUCUGUGCCCAGAUUAUGUACCGGCCAUCAAGAAGAUAAGGAUUGCUGAUUGCGAGAUGUUAGUAUCAGUAGCAACUGAAAGGUUUAGGGAUUUGAAUUUCCUUGAAGAAUUGGAGGUGCGCGGUUGUCCGAACAUCUGCUCCCGAAGUUUGGUGUCGCGGUCCCUUAAGAAGCUAACGCUGGCUAGUUGUGGGAAUCUCCUGGACAAUAUUGAAUGCUGCUCCCUCACGUACUUUUUUUUUAUCAUGUGACAAUGUUACGUCCAUCCAACCACAAAUGUGGAGUCUUCCAGCUCUACAGGAGAUGAUAUUCUGGGUGUGCGGAUCUGUUACAUCUAUUGUACUCUCCACUAAUCUUCUCCGUUGUGCUGGUACUGGAAGAAUUGGAGCAUUGCCAUCCCUUAUUUUCUCGAAAUUGUGGGAUGUGGUAAAUUGUCAACCCUUGAUAACCUCCUAACGCAAGAAUAUCUACCUGCCAUUAAGAAAAUUGAGGUUCGUGCUUGCCCAAGACUCAACUGGCAAAGGGGAUUCGUGUUUCCAUCGUCUCUCCAAAGGCUCGAAUUAAAUGAUUCUGGGGAUAUCUCUCCAUGUGUUCCCAGCUGCCUACAAAACCUCACAUCCCUCGUCUCACUGAAGAUGAUUGAGUGCCAGGGUUUGACAUCCAUUCCAGGCGACAUUUGGCGCAGCAGUCUUGCAUCACUCGAGGAAUUGGAUAUUUGGUGUUGUCCAGACCUAGUUUCAAUUGGCGGAGCAGAGGCAGUUGCGAAAAUAAAGUAUGUGGAUAUAUGCGACUGUCCAAACCUAGAUGAAGCAGAGGAGAUCAUGAACAGGAACCGCUAGGGUACGUGUGCUAACAAUUGUUUUCCUUUCCAGCUUUUCCUCCGCUUUUGCUCAAAUUUCCAUAUGCACUGAAAAAUAAUUCAUGUAUUAUGAAUAAUGACAAUCCAACUUAAAUCAUACUCUGGACUUGUAUUGACAUGCAGAGCUCCUGCAUGGUCUCGAAAACCGAAAAAGAAAAUAUGGGCUGGACUUACUGGUCGAUGAGCGAUGACACCUACAUGUAAUGCAUGCCUGAUUCAGAGGUAUAGUUCCAAUGCUUAGUCCGUAUUACUCUACCUAUUAAUCUUUUCUGAAAGAAAUUGUGAUAUUUACACUAAUUACACAUAGAUGAAACUUCGGAAAACUUGCUAAAAUGUAGUUGUACAAGGGCCAACUUGUUGCGUGACGUAACGUAAGUCGAAGGUCUACUCUUUUUUCUGGCCAUUUUUGCUUUUACUGACUUUAAUUUUGUUCUCCAGAAAGGAGAAAGAGAAGGACUGUGACGGGCAAGCUGGAGCCCAAUAGCUGCAGGACUUAAGUUGGAAGACUCGGGCGCCUAGGGGUACAACGAAGACAUCAUUGCCUUAUUCAGGCUGCAAUCCACAUUUGUGUUGAUAACUAUGAGCUUCUCCCCGCAAAAAAAAGAUAACUAUCAGCUCCCAGUUUGCACAAUAGUAAACUUCUUGCUUCAAAUAUUUAGCAUUUUAGCUACAGCCUGCGAGUUGCAACUUGAAAGGCUUCGUGACGUGAUAUGCCGUUUCCCAAUUUCUGUUCUAUGUCAAAUAAGUGAGGACAACACAUGUGUUGGUGUACCGUGUGGACGCCGGACAUCUUAGGCCAAAUGUGGCUUCUACAAAGUAUGGUAGACGAAAUAGCCACCACAGUCCACAAGUGUUGCAAGAAAAGACCAUAUGACAUGUGAACUACUGGCCGUCUGGCCUCUUCUUCUAUAAUAGAUGAUGUAACCGCUUGGUUGCAUUCUGAAAAAAAAACAUGUGAACUACUCGUAAGGUAUUGAAAGUGUGCCAAGCAACAAAUGUGGUAAUAAACCAAACACAUACCUAAGGUAUUGUCGCGUGCGUAGUGUUAAUAAUCAAGCUGACAUGCUCGCCAUCUGUUUUUGACCUAGACAUAGUAUUAUGAGAAGUUUUGUGAUGUUGUCAUUAUAAGUCCAGAGCAGAUUAAUUUCGCCAUGUGAAGUCUUUGUCGUUUUUGUCUGUUAAAACUCUGUACUUGAACUUCGAUUGUAAAUUUCCACAUUUGUUGGUUUUACUUGUACAUGUGUUAUCAUAUUGUCAGUUAACACUUAGUUUGAGAAGCAAUCUCGACCAUUAUAAUCCAGAACCAGUAUAGUUAAACGGUACAGACAAUUUAGCCCAUGUGAAUGAACAUGGUUGCGCAUGCAUAACAAGCCUAGCCAGGAAUCUGGAAAUUGUAAGUGAUAUCUGCCGUUCAAAGCUAAGCUUGUUUAACAGGGACUCAGAUUCACAGUCGAUGCUGCUGUAGGAAUGCGCAUGCUGAAACUGAUGCUUUAAACAUGAGGACAGAAGUUCAGGAAAGUUUUUGACGAAAUAACUGUCCCACCGCCUACGGUUGACAAUGCGUUAGCUCCUGCAUCUGUGGAUAUCUAGGGCAAAAAAUACAUAGAACCUUCGAUGGCCUCAUUAAUCCUUUUGAUCUUGUUUGUAUUUCCUAAACGCCUAAGUACAAAUAAAAUGUUCACGCACAUUGGCUCGACAACAGCAGGGUGAGGAAUCCAGAACAGCGCUACUAACCGUCGACGUAGAUGGAUGAGCAGGGAACUCUGGUACAAGAAUACAUGGGAAGCUUAUUUUGAAUAAAUCUGUGCACAACAGAUCGGACAGAAAAGGUUUACAACGGUAUUUCACUAUAAAUCAACAAUCCGAACGAGUUCAUCAACGUCUUCUCGAUAUAACAUGUUUCGAGAAAAAUAAGAAAUCACAAAUGAGUAUCUAUCUCUUUAACGGAAAAUAUGACAUGCCCUGAACCUGAACUAAUCAAUAACACACUUAGGAAGACAAGUUCCCGAACGCAGGGUGUGUUCUUCUUGACGUAACAUUUAUGGGGGUACAGAUGUUCUGCAAGUUAACCAUGCUAGACUGAAACAGCUCUGCCUGGAUCAUGAAGCCUGGGGCUUCUCCUCUGCUUUCUUUGGCUGCAAAGCAGAACAGGUAGCAAGAUUUUCAUUUAAGAUUCACAAUAAGAAUAAAAACAGGCAACAAAGACUGAACAGUGCUACGGUACUAGGCCCGGUCCAUGGAACGGAAAUUGGUAGCAUGCAAUCAAAAUUACCCACACAACCACAACACAGAUAGAGCGGAGCAACGGAAUGUGCCACAAAGAAAAUACUACUCCCUCCGUUCCAUAAAAAGUGUCGCCCACUUGGUACAAAAUUUGUACUUGGUACAAAAUGGGCGACCCUUUUUAUGGAUCGGAGGGAGUCGUAAUUUCUUACAAUAAUGGGCAGCACCUGUCUACAAAGAAAAUAAAUCUACCAUGCAAAGCCAAGGGUAUAAUUGAGAUUACAAACAAAACUAGUAACAAAACCUGCAUUUUGAACCCAUAAUCUUUAUGAGCAACUGUCAUGUGGGAUAUUCAUUAAUCGCAGGAAGGCCACACCAGGAGCAACGGCCGCAGCAGAUGCAGUCAAUGAAAGUUACGAAAGGAUCAGCCAAGAUCCUUUCAGUUUAGGCAUAUAUUUUCUUUAGAGUUUGUUUCCAGUUUGGUUCAGAUCUUUACCAAGUUUGUUUGAAUGCUGGCCUGGCCCCAUGUCAUGUAUGUAGGCUAAUGCAUACCCCCUAGUCUUUAUCAAUCAAGCAAUAAACCAAUCUAUUAUCACCCUUGUUACUUUGCUUUGUAGCAACCCUUCCAGGGCUGGCGUUGUGCCACGGAGGUUCAGGGAUCGGACUCCUACUACCCACAGCCUCCCUCCCCCCCCCCCCCCACCCACCCACCCACAAUUAUGCUAUAAUUCCACACAAAUCACGCAUCACAUCACAGCAAAUUGUUGACUGCAUGUGACUUAGCUUAUCUUAAGAAUAUUGCAUGUAAAGAUCACAAAAUUAAAGAUGCAUAGCUUCCUGAAUUAAACUUCUGAAUGAAUCUCCUGUACAUCAGUGUCUGACCAUGAAUCACGAGAAACAAACAGGCACCUCCAAACAUAAAUGUGUGUUAGUUUCAUCACAUGAAAAAAAGGAGACAGAAAAUAUUUGGAACAAUGAUAUGAUUUUUAUUGAAGGAAAAUAAACUUUGGUGUUCAAAACAUGUAUGUCAUUCACGGAAAAUCAAAUCCCGUGCUACUGGGAAGUAGGAGGAUCAUGGGAAGAAGAAAUAUUGGGAAUACCGGCAUACACAACAUACAGAAGUACAUAUGUUGAUAUGUAUUGUAUAGAGGUAGGUAACAGCACAAACUGGCAAUUACUACCUCCAUUCCUAAAUGUAAGAUGUUCUAGCUUUUCCUAAGUCAAACUUCUUCAAGUUUGACCAAGUUUAUAGAAAAAUGUACUAAUAUCUACACUGUCCAAUAAAUAUACUAUGAAGAUAUAUUUCAUAAUGGAUUUAAUAAAACGAAUUUAGAGUUAUAGAUGUUGGAAGAUUUUUCUAUAAACUUGGUCAAACUUUAAGAAGUUUGACUUAGGACAAAAGCUAGAACAUAUUAUACUUAGGAACAGAGGGAGUAGAAAAUAAAUACUGUCCAGAUAUUCAGGAAUUAUUGGAGUGUGCAAUGUGCAAUUGAUUAUGAGUAUUCCAAUGGAAAACUUGUGCCCAAAUAAUAAAAGAAAACUGUAUGGCUGCCUCUGGUUUGGGGUCAAAAUAAAUAUAUGUUAGGUCAGCACUCAGCAGGGCUAGUGGCAUAUUUAAAAAUUCAAGAGAUUUUUGAACGCUAGAUAAAGAACAUCUGUAUUUUGAAUUUUGAUCAGGACGCAGGUUAAACUAGCUUCCCGAGCCUACCACUUAAAGCAACAGAUACGAUCUCAAACAGCAGCUGAGCAAAGUUAAAAAAACAUAAAAAUAAUAAUACAUAUAAAUUAUACUCCCUCCGUCUGGAAAUAAGUGACUCGGAUUUGUCCUGAUUCGUAUGUAUAUAGACAUGUUUUAGUGUAUAGAUACAUGCGAAUCUAGACAAUUCCGAGUCACUUAUUUCCGGACGAAGAAAGUAAAAGUAAGAAACACAUACAUCUGGUUCUACACAUAUCUGUGGAACCCAAAAGUACAGAUGGCAAAACGGCACCAAAAGAAAAGAAAGGCGUAUGAAAACCUCAUAACUUAUUGAGUAACUGACCCAAGAACCCACUGUCAAAGACUACAAAACGAUAAUCCAUGUUAGCUACCAUAAGGCACUUAACUAUAUCAGAAUUCGAGGAAGAACUUAAACAAGCAGUUUGAUCCAAUUAUUACUAAAUUUCUCUCUAAAUAGCAUACCUACACAUGUACGUAGUAGAGGUAGUUUUAGGCAUUGGCACAAGAAUUAUUGAAAGUAGAGGUAAAAUGUUUUCACUUACCAUCAAGCACAACCAUAGCAAGAAAUAGCCACUUAAUAUGACUUGUUAAUAUAUCUUUUUCUUUUGAAACAACAGACAGGAUGACUGACUAAUUCGUUAAUACAGAGGCCAUUUCAUGUCUCUAUCGCAAUGGUCAGGAUCCAAUGCAGUCAGCUAGAACAAAAAUAGUUAAAGGCAGAUAAUUCACUAAACAUUUAUUUCCUACAAGGAUUUGGGACACCGCACACGUUUCCAUUGGAGUGAAACGUCAGAACAUUUAGGCAACUCAUCAUAGUAGAAUGACCAAUGGACUGGAAAAUUAACCCUACGAGAACUCAAAUAAAGCAACGGCAGAUCUCAAACUCAUAAUAUAGAUUAAAUCAACCAAAAAAUCAGUACGGUAAGCAAGCAAGAAAGUGAAUGUGGUGCAUUGGUGUUCUCUUGACUGCACUGAUGGAUGCACAAGGGCGCAGGCACUGCUAAGAUUAUUAGCCAGUUUUUAUCAAAUUACAAAUAUGUUAUAACCCCUCCUGUUCCAAAAACAACGAUGCCCUAGAAUGACGCAGUCAAACCAUACCAAUGAUUAUCAAAGAGAUCUAAUAAUAUGAAAUAAGAUACAGUGGUCAAAAUGAGGUCUCAUUGACUCUGAAGAUGAACCUUUCAAGAAAAUGAGUCUGAAGAUCAAAACCCACGUUUUUUUGGGUAUGUUUGGUUUGAGCCCAUGAUUGCCAUGCCAAAUAUUUGGCUAGCCAAAAUUUGGGUGUUGAUUUUGGUAGCCUGUCAGUUGGCCAAUUUUGGCAAGAAAAAUGAACUAUAGUUAGUGGUAGGGCAUUGGCUUGCCAAUGCCAAAUAGUUGGCUUUCAUCCAAACAAGGAUCAAAUCUUGGUCAAUGACGAAGUUUAGUAGGGUAGAGUUUAGUCACCAUCCAAACAUACCCUUUCUUCCAAUGUAUGAAUGUUCCAUUAGCCAAGUGAUGUAUAUAAAAUCAUUUUUGAAUUAAUACAAUGCGCAACAACAAAUGUAUAUCAUUUUAGCACUCUACUUUAAUCUAAUAGUAAGUAGUUAUAGAAUUUCUAGGCACAUUUCCCUGUUUUAUCCUUCACUAGCAUCAUUAGUCAAUGCGUUGUUUUCAUUUCCAUCAAACUAGAAUCAUUAGAACAUACACGGUUGCUGAGGAGCACAAGAUGAAUGAGUGAACAUAUCUCUAACUCCAAUAUUUGGACGAGAGAUUUCAAUGCAAGGUAGUAAAAUACACCACGCAAGGUGUUCGACAGAAAGUGAAGUGAACGAAACAAAACAGAAGAGGACGCACCUUGAUACCGGGGAAUGACAUGCCGAGCUCCUCCUCUGGGAUGACUACGGGCCACUUCUCCCCGGCCUCGCGGAAGAGCUGCUCGGUCUCAAGUAGGCGGCCGCGGGCGAGGAUCUGGUCGCGCAUGCCCUGCGCGGUGGCGCCGUCGGCGGCGUCGAAGGCCUCCUCGGCACCGUUGACGUAGGUGACGAGGACGCGCGGGGGAGGCUGGGCCUUGGGGUCCUCAGCUGCGGCCGCCGCGGGCAGGCGCCGCAGCUCGACCGAGCAGGCAGGGUUGGAGUCCUUGGCCUUGCGGCCGUUGCACUGCGCGAGGAGCUCCACCGCCGCCGCCUUCCGCGGGUCCAGCGGGUUGUACUCCACCACCACCUUGGACAGGAACUUGAGCAUUCUUUUCUAGGCCGCCGAUUCAAUUCCCUCGCUCGGUCUCCGCCUCUGAUUCCCUUCCAGGAGACUGUCCACAGCACCGGCAACGGAAACAGCCAGAGGCAAGGUGGGGCUGGAGGGAGGGAGGCCGGUGGCGUAUGGUGAAGCGGGAGGGGAGAGCGGCGGCGGCGAGCGAAGGGGCGGAGUGUCACAGAAAGACGGCGCCGGCGUUUUUCUCGAGCGCAGAUGAGAAGAGAAGCAGCCCAGCGCUAGCAGACGGCCCGGACAUUAAGUUCAGGCCUGUUACCGGACAAAACAGGCCCGUGUAUGACAGGUUUCUCUACCGUCCUGUUAGCAUAAAAUUCAAAAUUGCAAUUAAGCGGUGGUUGAACACACAAUUAGGCCCCGUUCGGUUGCUCCCAUCCCGUUGGGGAUUGGAAGAGAUUAACAAGAUUUCACCUCAAAUUCCCUUCAAUCUUCUCAAAUUUCUACAGGGAUUUGUCUAAUUAUAGGGGACAACUAGAAAACGGAUUGUAAACCAAUUAUAUGGGAAAUUGGUCUUGUUAGCUAUAUUUAUAUGCGAAAUAUAUGCGUGUAAUAUAUAAACACGAUAUGAUUAUAUUAUAAUAUAAAAUAUUUUAAUAAUAAUUAUAAAAUUAAUGUAUUAUUAGUACUAAAAAAAUAUAAUAAUACAUAAUUAAAAUUGCAAUAGGAUUUUGUAGGAUUCAUAAGGAGAAAAGAAAUCCAUAGAAUUCACUUAGUAAGAGUUUACUAACAACUUGUACGUAACAAAGCCUAAAAAAUUAGAAUCAUUCAACAUUCCUAUGAAAUUUUAAAGAAAUUGAGAUUUCAUCUAAGAAACAAAAUCGGAUAGCUUCCUAACCAUUAGAGGGAGCUUUAUUGAAGCAAGAUGUUGCAUCAAGAAGAUACAUCAAACAAAGGCUUAUGGAUAUGGUUGAGAAUUAUCAUAUCUAUUCAUUCAGACCUCGACAACUGCAUCAGCGAAAAGAUACAGGUUCUUCGAAUCUGCUCAUAUCCGCCAUCCGUUGUUUUGUGAAUAAACUAUCAAGAAAACAUUUUUUUGUGAUCAACGAGACCGUUAACAAUGCUGAAAGUGGUAAACAAAAGGUGUCAGCAACAAGAAAUGUGCUGACGUGUAAUACUUCACCAGCAUACAUAAUAGAUAAAAUGAAAUCAGCAACAACAUAAACAUAAUACGAAAAGCCUAUACCAAAACCGAAUACUUCCACCGUCCAACAAAGGAUGUCUCAACUUUGACUAAAUUUGAAUGCAUCUAUACACUAAGUCAUGUCUAGAUACAUUCAAAUCUUGACAAAUUUAAGACAACUUUUGUUGAACGGAGGAAGUACAUACUUUUAUUUGUUCAACAACGUAAUGAGUGAAACAAAACCAAUGUCGAGAUCAUCUCUCGACUGACAACAAUGAAACACAAUACCAAAAAUCACAACAAACCCAAAUUAUAAGGUUUACUGAAAGCCCAGAAGGCAUGCUUCUACAGUACAGAGUGACUUCAGUCUGAUCCUUUUUGCUUGCUUCCUGAAAGCUUCAUUAACUGAAGGGUGUAACAUUUUACAAGAACUGCUUUAAGGGACAAUCACUUGUCCAAACCAAUCUCAUUAAGGGGACCUUCAUGCCAAUCCGUCCCAGAUUUCAUCAAUAGGUCCUGCACAUAAAUUAUAAUGGCACCUUCAAAUCCUUACACUUCUGAUAUCAAACGUUAGAAGAAUAUACACUAAUAGCACCUUCAAAGAAUCUUUUGGAGAGUUAGUACUGAUCUUAGAUUUCAGUUGCCAUUUCAUAUUGCUCGUCCACGAAGACGAGCCAGUCAUGUCCUGGUGCCAAAGCAAUUCUGCAAACACAAGCAAUUCUAAUAACCAUGUGACCACAUCAAGCACCUAUCUGUAUCAUGAAAAACCAGUGCAAACACAUACCGCGGGCACUGGUAGACGAUGCAUGCGGGUGCAGAUAUGACCGAGUUGAGUGAGCAUGGCAGCGCAUGCGAGCUUUUGGGCUGUCCAGUUCUGAUGGAGUAAGAGGUGCCCUUUGCAAAAGCUUUCUGCAAAAGCAAGUAGAUUCUGUAAUAUCAGCGCUAUGAGCCUGCAAUGGCCAUCGAGUAAAGGGUUAGUUUGUUUCUUACGUUAAUACUCAAGGUAGUAGUAGCAUCCUGCAGCUUUCUGCUCCGUGUCCUUCAUAGAUCCUAGCUUGUUAAUCCGGGGCCUGUAGGUUGUUGGAUCGGUCCUAAAUGUGACAUUUAGAUGCUGUGGCACAGACAAGUGAAAUUAUGUAAAAAAGAUUGCCACUGAAAUUGGCCGUGAAACCAUCAGAAUUAUUCAUCGAUUUGUCAUUUCAUCCUCCAAUACAAGCAUAAAGUACUACGGAGUAGUAGUCUAAGGGAGAGAGGAGGAAGAGUAUAUAGGACUUACUGACAGAAAACGGUUCAUUCCAGAAGCCAGGGGUUCUGGUGCAUUUGCAGCACAGUGAACAGAAGGUUUUCCCUCGAAAACGAGAACCUUGUCAGCGAGGUAGGCUGCCAUUACGAAAUCAUGCUCGGCAAUGAAAGCUGUUUUCUUUUGGUGAAGGAUAAACCUUUUUAUCACCUUUGAUGCAAGAAGGCGCUGCUCUGAAUCAAGAUGAGCACUUGGUUCAUCUAUAAGGUAAAUAUCAGCAGGCUGCAAACCAAAAAGAGAUCUUAUUAAAAGACAUCGAUAAUUAAAGGAAGCGAUCACUACAUGAAAAUGGAAUAUGUAAUGAUAUGUGUUACUUCCUAAUACAUACUAUACUAGUUAACGAUAAAUAUUUUUCAUUACGUUGGUAUACAGAUUCAUGAAUGAUCAGCAAUCUACUCAAAAUCUAUGUGGAACACCGCAUCUGCCAUUUACAUGUCUGGCCAUCACUCAAUCACUGCAUGGCUCCACUAUCUUUCAUAUUGUUUUAUUGGGUAACUUGUGUAAAUUUUCCUGUUGAAAACCCCAUGCUAGUAUGACACUCCUAUUAAUAACUCUAACAAGUAUGCCUCAGAUAGAAGUCUGAAAACAGUACGAUUCAGUUCUUGAAAAUCAUAGCAGUAAUACGACCCAUCCAGUCUAGUUAAAAAGGCGACAUGAAAAGCUUAACGGAGCAAUCCACCAAAAAGCAAUAUGAAAUGUCAGAUGAAAUUGCAUUUUUUUUGGCUUUAUCGGAGCAAAGUUCCUAUUUGAAGUUUCCUGAACACACUUACAAGACAAUAAUUAUUAAUGGAGCCAAAAAGAUGUUUGAGAUUCAUGUUAUCUUACUAGACUUUCUCAUCUAAGGCUUACAAGACCUACAUAUGCGGUUAGCAAUCUAAGGAUUUCUUAUCCUACUAGACUUUCUCAUCUAAGGCUUCCCAAAUCUGACUCUUUCUUAUCUAAGAGGAAGAGGUCCUUUGAGUCACUGGACCUCUGAUGCGACCAAUCAGUCGCUAUCACUCCAAAGGUAGACCAAAGACAAAGAAGCGGUCAACAUCCUCUGGAAUAUCUGGAAAGAGUGAAAGUGGAGGAUAUUCAAUGCAACCAGCCUAACAUCCUCUGGAAUACCUUCAAGGUGUAAAUCCUAAGAUGACUUUUCUUCUUGAAAUAUUAUCCAAGGGAAAGAACUGUAGGGGUGGGAGGUGAUCUACUAUUGUCCUACCUUUCCGAGACACAGACAGAGUUUGACCCUUUGCAGCUGUCCACCAGAAAGAUUGGCGACCUGCAUGUCCAUGAGUUCCUCAAUUUUCAGUGGUUUCAUGACAUCAGAUCUGAACUGAGCUUGUGUGCAUGAUCCACGUAUUUUCUCGUGUAUAAGGCCCCUCACUGUAGAGGGGUAUUUAGAGACCAAUUCCUGACGCUUGUAUGAGACACUAUAUGCAGGCAUGUCAACCUGCUCAUCACCUACUUUGUCUGGUUUCACUUCUCCCGCCUGAAAAAAAAAGAGAGAAAGAAACAACUGGUGAGAGUACUAAUCAAAAGUAAAUCUCUAGGCAUCUCCAACACAUAUUUGAGGGGGAGAAAAGGUUAUACCAGCAUACGAAUAAAUGUUGUCUUUCCGGUACCAUUCUCACCAAGCAUGACAAUUAUCUGGGAAUCAUUAAAGCUGCCUUGUGUGACUGAAAGCUUGAAGCCACGCCUUGUUUUCUUCAUGGUAGGAUACUUGUAGCAUUGGUAAUUCUGACCCUCUAUGAUCUCUUUAGUAGACUCAGUGACCUAAGAAGCAAAACAACAUUAGAUACAAAGCCCUUAACAUUUAUAAAAACGGUGCUCAGGAGACAAGGUUUGGUAAUGAUCCUGGCCCUUACUCUAAAUGUAAGUUUCUCCUCACGGAAACGCAAAUUUUCUGUUGGGAUAAAGCCAUUUAGGAAAAUGUUAAUUCCUUCUCUGACUGAAGAGGGUAAAGUAACAACACCAUAUGCUCCUGGAGUCCCAUAAAGACAGCAUAUGUAGUCUGAUAAGUAGUCAAGAAUGCUCAGAUCAUGCUCCACAACAAUUACAUAGCUGAAAAUAAGAUAAAAAUUUGUAAAUUAGCUCUGGAGAGAAUAACUCAAAUGUUAUGGCUGGCUUAUUUUCUGUGAGAUGCAUAUCCUCUUUACCUUUUGGGUUGAAGCAAGGAACGGAUAACUUCUGCAGCUUUGAGCCUUUGUUUCACAUCAAGAUAGCAGGAUGGCUCAUCGAAUAUAUAAACAUCUGCUUCCUCCAUAGCACGAGCAGCUAUUGCAAAUCUCUGGAGCUCACCACCAGAUAGAUCUGAGAUAUCGCGGUCCAUAACUUGAUUCAAUUCUAGAAUAUCGCACAAUUUGUCCUUCACUUGUCUCUCAUCUUUCGUAUUAAGAAAGUCCCCAACCUUCCCUCUAAAAGAUUUUGGAACGUUAAGAUACUGAGGUUUUAUAGUUGCCUGCAAACCAAGCACCGUAAACCGUUAGACAGAAAUAACACAGAUCAAUGUAAAGAUUACUACAUAAAGCUCAAAAUAAUUUGAAUACCAAAAUGGAAGAAACAAAGUCCUUUGAUUUCAGACUGCUGAUAUGUGGUCAAUUUUAUUGUGUGUCAGUACCAACAGCAAUCAAAAAGAAAGUAUUUGGGAAUCAGUGUGGAGAAAAAAUAUUGAUCAUGACCAUUUGAGCAAUGAAUUUGGAGAAAUGUGCUGACAAAGUGAAAAAAGCCCAGAAAUGAACAAGUACAUGUGAAUUAUCCUGAAAUGGUGAAAUCUCUACGGUGCAAUGUAGGGUACACAAGGUCAGGAACCCAACUUUGAAUCUCACUUCUACCUUCAAUUCAAAAGUGCUGUACUGUUGUUAAUAACUCUUAUCCCUCACAUUGUGUUAUUUUUUCAUCUAAAAUUAUUGUUCACAUCAGCAUAUUUCCUACUCCCUCCGUCCCACAUUAAGUGACUUUCUAUGACAUGUAUCUAGACGCUUUUUGGGUAUAGGUACAUCUAUAUUUGGACAAAUUUGAGUCACUUAAUAUCAGUGCACACUGAAUUUGUAAUGGGACAAAAAAUAUAUAUAUGAACAAAAUCUUUUUCUUUUGAGACAACGCAAAAGCAUCGCGUCUUGAUGCAUUGAUAGAAAGAAGGUCGAGUACAAGGCCAUGGAAGGGCCCACACCCCAGGAAUAAUAGAAACAAAAUCUUGAUGUUAAUCAAAUCGAGAAACUUCUUAAACAGAAAGACUGAAAAAGGUAAGAAUGUGAGCAUACAAGACAACAGAAGUCGGUCUAAAAAAACAAGACAACAGAAUACAAUGGAAAAUGAUAGCUUUUUAUAAGCUGCAUUAAUAAAUUAUAGUAGAAGUACCUUCAUGUUGUCUUUCCAUAGACGUGUAAAGUAUUUCUGAAGUUCAGAUCCACGGAAAUAGCUCAAAAUUUCAUCCGAAUUUGGGGAAUCCUGCAAAGGUCAUUCGUAGUUUCAUAGCCUAUAAUUGCUUCCACAGCAAGGAUUAACAAACAUAACUCAGUUCCGCUUACAGUGAAUUUUCCCAAGUUCGGUGUCAACUUCCCAGCCAAAAUAUUAAGCGCAGUCGAUUUCCCGAUACCGUUUGUCCCCACCAAGCCCAAAACUUGCCCUGGUCUUGGAACAGGAAGCCUACAAAAGGUUUAAGAGGUUUCAAGAAAUGUGAGUUAUAUAUGACAGUCACUAUCAAAAACAGCUCAGGAGCCAACAGUCAACAGCUACAAAAAUGGCCAAAAUGAAGUUCUAAUAUAAUUUCAUUUAGUGAGGUGAUUGAAUAUGAUAGACAUGGGAAAGAUUUGAGUACCUGUGAAGCUUAAAGGAAUUCGGUCCAUACCGAUGUGUCGUCUCUUUGUCAAGACCAUUUGGCAAGUUAAUAAUUUGGAUAGCAUUGAAUGGACACACCUGCAAGGUAACACAGGAAGAGUGUGUUAUAAGAACACCACACCUCAGGAUGAUUGUAUCCAUAAAUAACCCCAAAAGGAGUAGUUAAACCUUGACACAGAUACCACAUCCAAUGCAUAGUUCCUCCGAAAUUAAGGACACCUUCGAUGAUGGAGUAACUUCUAUGCACUGACGCCCUGUAAUAUAUAUAAAGAAUCAAAAGUCUGUCUAUAACAUAAACAAAGGCAACCUGAAGUGAUCACUCAAUACAUAAAUAAAUUCAUCUAGGGCUUUAACAUUUAACUAUGUUCAAAUAUUUGACAGAACACUUCAAUUAUAAUGUUAAGGUUCUGUUUCCAUUGGGAGACCUAGAGAUAAUGGUAAUCAUGCUCGAUUUAGCCGUGUUUAGAUAUUUGGAGUGUGGCUAGCUGUGUUUUCUUAAUCAAGUUGCAAAAAUGUGUAGUAUUGAAAAUAUCAGAUCGAAUAUGAGGACAUCCAUUGAAUGAUAUAAUUUUAUCUACUUAAUUGAUGAAAAAAAAAUUAUCUGCUUGAACAAAAUUAGUACUGAAGUUGACACCUGUUUUCCAUAGAAGGUUGAGAAAAGUAAAUUUCCUAAAUCAGUGCAAACAAUUCCAUAAAUGAAAACGAUGAAGACAUGCACGGAAGCGAGCCGUAACAGAGGCUGAGGUUUGAUAAUGAGCCCUGAGGAGAUAUUAAGUGCUUACUUUGAUAUUCAUUCUACUACUCUGUUACCUGCUCCGUGUUUAUUUCAUGCCAGUUGGUAUAAUUGGCAAGUUCAACCAAAUGAUCAAAUUUACAAUUUGUUCUUGGGUUUAUAAUACAGGAACCAACUUUUUGUAACAAUUUUAUAAGUAGUUCAAGUACAAAGUUUAUUUCUCCACUUUUGUUGCCAAUCAGUGACAUAAUUAUGAAAAAUUGGCAGUGAAACUAGAGAUCCAGAGAGGAAGGCAUAUUUCAGGAAUGGUAGAAAUGUGGCCAACCGGACUUGUGUAUCGAAGACAUUAAUCAAAGGGUGAAGGGAGUAGGUCCUUUUAAAGAUCAUGGUUAAUUAAGUUUAGUUGGUUUGAAACUUGAAAUAUACUGCAAAGAGGGGAGCCACCUUUCGUUUCUUGUUUACAUUCCAAGAACACCGGGAUACAUAUCAGAUAUCACAUAUGGGAGUGAUGUAUUUAUAGAAUCUGGAUUUUUCUCAUGGGACUCACAUAAAUAUUUAGUCUCGAAGUGAAAUUUCUUCCCUAAAAAUAGAAGAGAAAUGGCCCAAAUUUCAUUGAAAAGCAGAAGUUCAGAACCCUCUACUACUACCGUCAUUGCGGAAUUUCCACUCUGCUUCUUUUAUGCUUAUGCACAAAUUUGAAAUUCAAAAGACUAUUUGGCGCGUUUCAGGGUGGACCCCCAGAAUUAAAAGUAAUAAAUUGUAAUAUCCUGAUUUUCAGUCAAUUGUUUUUCAUAAGCAAGGGAUGUUACAGCAUACUCUAUGUCAAUAAAGUACCUUGAUUGGAGUUGCCAAAAAAUAAUUCCAAAUGUGUUUGGAAUUGAUUUAGCAUAGGAAAAAAAGGUGAAAUACAAUUCCUUAAUACACGUUUUGACUUUUGGCAUUGUAAGAAUCUUCAUCGAAUUCAUAUCUUCAACUUGAGUUACAGACUUCCUUUUCUCAGAUUUUUUUUUCUCUCGGUUUGAAUUCAGAUUUGCAUCAAAUUUAAUUAUGCGAUUUAUGCAAUUAAAAGAUCAAUCUUGCACUAUGGGCUGAAUUCCCUAGCCCAUCUCUUUUUCUCUUUCCUAGGCCUUGCCCAUUUUAAUUUUUUCCCACCACUUCGUCUUCCUCCUCUGUGCUGCCCCAAAUCAAUAAACCGACACCAUGACUCUUCCCCUGCCCCUUCAGUUUCUUCCCAACCAAUGGCUCUGCUUCAAAACUCUGGUUUCCCCUCUAAAUUCCCUCUCUCCCUGCGCAACGGAUUCUUUUGGUUUUCCAUCCCCUGUGCAGGCCAGCCUUACCACAACUUAGAGCAUAAUCGGCGUCGGUCCUCCCGUCCGAUGCUAGCCAGGUAAUCACCGCCAUCUCAAUCGCAGCAGGGCUCUCAUUCCAUUUUUACCAUCACCACGCACCCGCAGAUGUCCUUUCUUCGGCAAGCGCCUGCACCUAAACUCACCUCUUUUCUUCUAUAGCCAGCGACUGGGUUGGUUUAGAAGGUUUAGUUCCUUGACCUAAUUAGGAUAGCCUACAAGGGCACUUAGGGGUUAGGGCCUUUGUGUCGAAACUAAACCUUCUAAACCAACCCAGUCGUUGGGAUUAGAACAUGAUCUAUCCUGGUGCUGCAUAAUUAAAUGGAAUAAUACGCCACUAUACAUACAUGCAGAUUUAUCUGCCAAUAAUCUUGAUGAACAAAAACAAUUACUUGCUACACAAAGGCACUAAGUGCCCUUGUAGCCUAUCCUAAUCAGGUCGAGUAACUAAACCUUCUAAACCAACCCAGUUGCUGGCUAUAGAAGAAAAGAGGUGAGUUUAGGUGCAGGCGCUUGCCGCAGAAAUGACGGCUGUGGGUGUGGGGUGAUGGUAAAAAUGGAAUGAGAGCACCGCGGCGAUCGAGAUGGUGUUGAUUACCUGACUAGCGGCGGACGAGAGGACCGGUACCGAUUAUGCCCUAAGUUGUGGCAGGGCUAGCCUGUAGAGGGGAUGGGAAAUCAAAAAAAUCCGCUGCCCAAGGAGAGAAGGAAUUUAAAGGGGACACUGGGGUUUUGAAGUAGAGCCAACUGAAGGGGCAGGGGAAGAGUUAUGUUGUCGGUGUAUUGAUUUGGGGUACUGCGUUACAGAGGAGGAAGACGAAGUGGUUCUUGCAGGUUUGGGUAAGUGUUGCGAAAAAAUUAAAAUGGGCAAGGUAUGGGCUAGGGAAUUCAGCCCAUCGCCCAAGAUUGAUCUUUUAAUUCCAUAAAUCGCAGACUUAAAUUCGGUGCAAAUGUGAAUUCAAAACGAGAGCAAAAAUCUGAGAAAAGGAAGUUUGUAACUCAAGUUAAACAUAUGACUCUAACGAAAAUUCGUACAAUGCCAAAAGUCAAGUAAGGGUAUUAAGGAAUUGUAUUUCCACCUUUUUUUCCAAUGCUAAAUUAAUUCCUAACACAUUUGGAAUUAAUUUUUGACAAUUCCAAACAAGUUACUUUAUUGAAAUACAGUAUGCUGUAACAUCCUUUACUUAUAAGAAAAAAUUUACUAACAAUCACGAUGUUACAUGAACGCAUACUAAUCACGCAGACGGAAUAAUCCAAAAUCUAAGAAGCAGCGAGCACAAACCGGUGGCGUUGACGGGACACCGCUUGCGGCACUGCUGGCCGCACUUGCUUGGCCGGCACCGUUCCUCCACCACCACCGCGAUCCGGGUCGACCGCCCCGACAUAUAUCCCCGAGCGCCUCACCCUCCCGUCGAUCUAUUCGCUGGAUUUUGGGGGAGUAAAACUCUGGCCGUUUGGCAACAAAACCGGUAUUUGCGGGAGGGGAAAUAAUGGGACCGUCUGACGGCGUGGGGGAUCGCGUGGCGUGCUAUAUGUACCUGCGCGAGGAAUUUGGAUGCCGUGGGGUUCAAGUUUCGGUCACCUCGAAGGCGGACCAGGUCGCUGCUCCGCUCCAAGCCUCCAAUAGUCAUGGCCUUGACGAUCCAAACCACCAAAUCACAGACGUGACGAACCUGUUGAACUUCUGUUGCUAUAUUUUUAUACUCCGUAUCUUUUUCAUAAGUAUUUGUAGUACUGCAACGGAACAAUUAUACAAAUUAUAACAAAAAAUUAUUGAUGCAACACCGUUGACCAUCCUAAUCAAUUCCGAUAUUUUUGGUCUGGACAAAAAUUCAACUAAAAAAUUAUCUUUGUCAUGGGCCUAGACACCUAACCCAUGUCAAAGCCUUUGCCGAGUGUGACUCUUGGCAAAGUCACGACACCGAUCCAAGCGACCGUGCCGUCACGGAUCGUUAACGUGGCAUCAUCACAACCUUAUGAUUUUCAUCUCUCUUCUCUCCCUUUCUUUUUCUUUUUCAGUACCGUACGUCUUCUCCUCUCCUCCGUCGAUGUCUCUCAUCUCGAUCUCUCUUCUCCGCCUCUAAUCCCAACGGGGCUGCCAACUCCAUGUCCGCCUCAGACCGCCGCCCCUCUCCAAAUGUGGACCCCUUUAGACCAUUGAUCUUAGAUUGAUUUGCCCGUUUGACCCUUUGAUCGAGGUGCUGACCCAAACCAGAUUUCUGCAAGCUGUCAUGUGGACCUGUGGCCCACCGUGCAGCGCAUUUUCCCCACCCUCUCCCGCUGACAAACAGGCCCCACCCCCAUCUUUUACUUCCUGUAGCCACAGCGCCCCCGUCGGCCCGCCCUUCUUCAUGUGCACCCGUCAUCUUCGCCACUGUGCCAGCAUGGCCGACCGUCGCCUCCAGGACCACGCCUGCCCCCUCCGUUCCUAUCCACCCCGAGGCGCCCUCCUCCUUAUCUAUCUCCACCCCGCUCUACUCUCUCUUCUCCCGAAGAUCUCCCUCUCGAAGCCCUGCAGCUCAUCGUUUCUUUCCCCAUCGAAGCCGUUCUCUCCCCCAAGUCCGAGGAGCUCGCCCCAUAGCUCCAGGCGCUCCCCGUGGCCCUCGAAUCCACCGCACGUCUCUCCAUCUCCCUUCGAAGCCGCGCCUCCAGUUCCUGGAAGCCAACCCGCUUCCAAUUUGUCGCGGCCGUAUCGUCUCCCUCGUCUCCAGCGGGAGCGCCACCACUCUCCGAUCCACCACCGCAGCGCUUCUGCACCUCUCCUCCGCGCAUGAGAGAAGCGCAUCGACUCCAGGAGCUCACGUGCGUCCUCGCCCGUGCCUCCCGCGCGCCAGAAUCUCCCCUACGUCAAGCUUCUCCGCCGUCCGCCGAGCCCCCUCCACCGUGCCUCCGCCAAGACCGGGCAUGCCCCCGAGUUCGUCUUGUCCAUGCGCACCUCGAGACGAACCCCUGGCCCCGUGUGCCGGCUGAAUCUCCCGCGCGGCCGCUGUCUUCCUCAACUUCGGCGCCGCCGCAUCUCCACUGCACCGCCAUCUCCACUGCCCGCCUAGAUAGACUACGGGACGUAUGUACGGGCGUUGCCGCUUUGGGCAUUGUUUAUGUGCCGUGUGAGUGGAGGAGGAUCGUGGAGGAGUGCCCUGUGCGAGGCGGAGAGGGGCGGGUGUGCGAGGUGGAGAUGGAUUGCGGAUCGGCAGGUGUGCGAUUAAAAGAUGAUUCGGGGUCACGGCGCAUGCGUGGGCGGGACGGGCGUGGCACAGAGGUGUAAUUUUUUCAUGGCAGAUUCGUAAUUUCAGUGAAGUGAUGUACCGCGAUGUCCGUAUCAUCACCGCCAACUCCAAUUUAAUAUAUCAGUAUAGAUUUAGACGUAUUUUAGUAUAUAAAUAUGUCUGUUUUAAAUAAAUUUGAAUCACUUAAUAUGGGAAGGAGGGAAUACUUUGCACGUCGACGGACUGAGAGUUGUCCGUAAAUAGUUGGAUAGGAUCCUCGUUUAUUUAGGUUAGAGCAUCCUCAGUAGAUUGUGUAUAUCUGGUUGUCUAUAUGAAUGAAGAUAUAAACAAUAGUCUUAAAAAAUUAUGUUUCAACAUAUUAUAGUUUUUCAUCAGCUUGUCUGUAUUUACAUUGUCUAUAUUAUCUCUCCUAUGUUAUAAUAGCAUCCCAUUCAACUGCUGUUUCAGCAUCUUCUUCCUCCCACGAGCAACAGCACCCUUGUUCCUCCCACCACCAGCAGCAGCGGCGCCCUUCCCCUCCUCCAUCUCCCUCAUUGCAGCGCCUCCAUUCUUCCUCGCCACGAGAAGCAGCAGCAGCCCCUUCUUCCUCACCACGAGCAGCAGCAGCGCCCCCUUUCUUCCCCACGAAGAGCAGCAACAGCGCCCCUCCCCUCCUCCAUCUCGCAUGCGGCGGCGCUCCCUCCCCUUUUCCAUCUCCUCGACGGCGGUGCUCCCUCUCCUCAUCCAUCUUCCCGGCGGCGGCGCCCCUACCUCCCUCGUUGCUGCCCGAAUCAGCGGCGCCCCAACCUCCCUCGUGGCUGCUCGAAUCAGCGGCGCCUCCUCCCUCCUCGGAUCCCCCUAGGCGGCGCUGGAUUUGGGCGUCUUGGGCUGGAACGGACGAACGGUUGGGGGCUGGACUUUCAGGAUGUGGGCGGGAGCGAGCGCAUUGAGGAUUUGGACGUCGUGGCUUGAUAGUCCAAAUGUGGACGUCGUGAGGGUGAAUUUGGACGAUGUUUUAGACAAUCAUAUACACAAAGCCGGUGGAGAGAGGUUUUGCUUGUCUAAAUAGCAUAUAGACCACCAUGUCCACAAGCGGCCGAGGAUGCUCUUACAAACGCGAGCCGCGAACAGUACAUUUUUUUAUCCUUCUGCUCGAAAUACUGCUCGAAAUACAUGUACAUUAAUUUGACAUUGUCCUAAGUGAAAACUUAUUAACUUUGACCAAAUUUGUAGAAAGAAUCACAUUUAUAUACAACACAAAACUAGUACCGGUAGUACUAUUAUCAAAUAUAUUUUUAUAUCGCAUUUAUUUGGUUUUAUAGAUGUUGGUAUUUUUUUUUGUAAAAUCGGUCAAAGUUGAGAAUGCUUGACUUGGAACAACCCCAAAUUUAGAUAUUAAGAAAUGGAGAGAAUAGUUCAAAUUUUUAAAUCUUUUUUUAUCCAGUUUUAAAAUGGGAUAUCGCGAAUGGCUCUUCAAUUUUCAAAUCUUUGCUAUUCAAAAGUUUGAAUAUUAUAAGAUAUAAAAUUUGAACUAGAAGUGAGUCGUCCACGGGGUCCUGUUUGCCCUACAUUUGCUGUGAUUCAUACCAACCUAAACCAGUUUUUUCGAUCAGUGACAUCGUAUGCUUUCUCUCAUGUUUGCUCUUUGUUGGUUGUCUACUUAACCGUUUUUGUCUAUUUUAUUUAUUGUGUGGCAAACUGAUCUUUUUCUACUUCUAUGUCUAUUUCUCACAAACAAAAAAUAGAUAAGGUCAACACAACAAAGUUCAACAACCACGUACAGAGGCUUACGCGGUCGACGGGCAAUCAGUUGUCUGUGCUAUGCCUGGAAAGAGAACAUGCAAUGUCUUCUGUCCUAAAUUACGUUGUGUGUCAAUAAAAUGUGACACUACUAAUCCAAUUUUUUUCUAAAGGUGUAUAUAUUAUUAAGAACCAAUAUGCACACAAUCAUUCGUAAUCCAGUACAUCGCACGGGGCGGCACGGAAUUACACAACACACCUCCAAGGCGCACCUUACAAUAGUAGCUAGCUAGUAGCUGGUGAGCCACAAAAUUGUUCUCUCUUUAAGUACAAAAGAAACAAAUGCUAGGAUCGAAAGUACUUCACAGAAUAACUCACAUAAUUUUUUUCUCAUUUGUUCCACAAUACACUUCAUUUUUCUCUUCGCUCCCACGCCUAGCCAAUAACUAUGCACAUCCAUUUAAUUUUGACCCAAUAGGAAUGAUCAGACACUAGAAACGAGAUCUUUCUUGGUCCAAGUGCAUAAAACUAUAUGAGGUGUAUUGCAGAACGGAGGAAGUAGUGAAAUGAAGAAUGUCAGCCACCACUAAACAUCUUGAAGAGAGGUUAUCCGCCAAGGAGUUAAGAGCCUGAAUCAAGAAGAGGCGGUCACUUUCAACAAUCAAGGCGCCGGGGAGUGUUGCCUGGCGUCUUAGGACAACGAGCGAUGGUGUCCUAAGCUGACGGAAUUACAAUGCCAUGUUCAUCACGAAAAACCGCACCCCAAGUACCUGUGUCCACGCCCGACAAAAAGCUAGCAUCCAGGAAUCCAUUGUCUUUGAUGUUUUCAGGUUUCUUGAUUUAUAGUGAGCAUUUUUAUGAGCAUCUUAUAUUCAUGUUGCACCCAGAUCAUAGUUUUUUGGGGUUAUGAAAAAACAGUAGCGGAUAGACUAUUUUACAGGCAAAGAGAUUCGGAAAUGGUAGAAAAGGUUUUAGAGAUGGGUAUAACACACAGCCCCAGUCUGAUAAAAUAACUCGGUGCUCCUUGCUAUCGACUCCGCUACACAGAAUUGUUUAAUUCCGUCCUCCUGGCUCCGGCAAUGGUGCCUGGUUAAUAUAUGCAUAGCUACGCCGCAAAGGGAGGUCCUUUUCGAUCCUUUGCUGCCCUGCGUCGAUGCUUGUCUCGCACUUGGACAAAAAGGGACGGUGGAACCAGAAACGUAAACAGAUAUGAAAUCUGACCCAGUGCAAGUGCAAACAAGAAUCGUUGCAAAACAAAAGCCACGGCCUUGGCUUCGAGCCUUCGAUAGCCCCUACCGUUACCGUAGGCGUAGCAACAACAGGCAGGGGAUCCGUUAUAGCUCGUCGGCCUCAAUUAAAAAGAAGCAGCAGCCACACCCACACGGGAUCCGGUUAACCCCCAUCGUCCAUCGACAAAAACGCUCCAGGUCCAGGGGUUGCUCUGCUUCUCCACUUCAGUUCAUCGUCUUGCCCCCUGCCUCGGCUUCCCUAUUCCCCAAAUUUUCAGCCGACCUCUGCGAUUCCGGCACACGGGCGGCGCCGGCCUCUUUGGCGGCUGGCACCGGCUUCGAUAGACCGUGGUCCUGGACACCCUCGUCGACGCCGGGGAGGGCAGGCGCUGCCGGUCUCAACUCCGGCCGGGCCUCCUCAUUCCACCGAGGCAAGAUGAGGGAGCUCCGGGUCGUUCUCCUGAUUCUAGUGAUAUAUCUGCCUUCCUUCUCCGCUUCUGAUAGCCAAGGUAUAGCUUCCCCUCCCUUUAAGGUCACACUCUCUUAGUCUUAACAAAUCGCCUACCUCGAGUUUCUGUACUAUGAAGGCAUUAUAUAUAUACGUAGUACGUGUUACGGUUGACCAAUUCUGUUUGUUUUUGUUAUGUCUUGUCGUGAUGGGGCAGAAAUCAUCUCUUGUCGCUAUGUAGUUUAUUUUUUGGCUUACUCUUCCUUGAUGGGGACCUCUAGUACGGCUGCACAUGCUGCUUUCAAUGAUAAGGACACCCAUCUCUGCCCUCCAUUUCCGUUCUCUUUUCGCCCUGUCCCGAAAAAUCGAAACAACAGUGCAAGCUUUUAGCGUGGGAAUGCAAUGUUCAGUUCAGGAAUCAAACAUUUUUAAUCGGACUUAAAAUUUAAGCAUUCCACUCCAACUAAUUGAAGCUCUACAGUCUACAGUAUAUCUAACUUCCAGCUAAACAAAUUCACUUUCGACAUCAUCUUAAGAAAUCAAAACAAUCAACUGAAAGCCCAUUCAACUCUAGUUUUGUACUGUAACUUUCAUACUAAGUCAAAUUAGGAUGCUGGAACUUUCACCUGGGGUUUUGGUGAAGAGGAAGAACAAAGGGGGACAGCGAGGGAGAAGUAGAACCACAUGGGAUCACGGCUAACCGUGACUGCAAACGUGCACAAUGGCUUUUGCAAUUGCCACAUCAGCCUUUUAGCAGUGGAUGUGGCAGCAGCUUUUUCCUGGUGAGGUGGGAAUGCCUCGGCAAGGAGGAGGGGGCAGUGGUGGUUUUUGGCAAGGCUGUGGAAGGAGUAACAGAUGGUGGACUGCUAUGCCGAGCGUUGAUUCAUGAGAACAAGGAAAGAAGCUUGCAGAAUAUGUGUCAAAGAAAAAUAAUCACAUGGAACUGAAAUUUGUAUACUCAGUAGUGGCGCAUCUUUGUGCACCUUGUUGUAAUGGAAAUAAAUCCUAUGAGACCUCAGUUUUGGACACUUAUGGGACCCCUUCUAAAUAAUGAAACAUGAUGAAGAGACUUAGAUAUUAAGAGCUACUCCCUCCGUUCCAUAAUUCUUGUCUCAAAUUUGCUCAAAAAUUGAUGUAUCUAUUUCUAAAAAGUGUUUAGAUACAUGUAAUAUUUCGACAAGAAUUAUGGAACGGAGGGAGUACUUAAGUCCUGGCUUUCUUGCCGUACCUACCUCAAAAGGAAAGUUACUGUAAAUAUACUAAUAUAGAAAUUUAGUGUUAAAUGAUAAUUUAACCGCCUCCCACCACCUGUCUCUCUCCAGUCAUAUAUUAAUUAUAGUCAAAAUUGUAUUCUUCAAUGAAGAACAUUGGCUGGAACUGUUGAGGAUAAUUUGGGCAUUUUAAAAUCUGAUGACCAUGGUGGAAUUUAAUUUCAAGUCAUAUGCACGAGUUUCCUUUAGUUUCAAAUAAAGUUCUUGCUCACAAUUGUGUAACUAAUUUUUUUUUCACCAGGGGAUGCGUUGUAUGAUAUAAAGCGAAAACUGAAUGUUACCGGCAGUCAGCUUUCAGAUUGGAACCGGAAUCAAGUUGACCCUUGCACAUGGAAUUGUGUGAUUUGUGACAAUAACAACAAUGUUGUUCAAGUGUAAGUGGUAGCCCCAGUAUCUUGUAUUAUUUGUUUUGUUUCUCAUGUCGAUGUUAUCCAAGUGCUGAUGUUUCCCUUUUUCAUAUCCUAAUUGUUUUGGGUCUGUGCUGAUAAUUUCCCACAGAUCAGUGUCUGGUCAAGGAUACACUGGAGUUUUGUCACCAAGGAUUGGAGAGCUCGUGUAUUUGACUGUUCUGUAAGUUCAUUCUCUUAAUAUGUCAAUUAAUAGCCUGAGAGCAUCUAACAAGAUUGCAUAAACUCAAGAAAAAUCUAGUAAUCUAACAAUCAAUUUAUGGAGACUUGUUGCUUCGAGUUCACCCUAUGUUUCCAUGCAGAUGCUUCUAGUUGUGCGGUCUUUUGUAGUAGUAGAACCGAUAUCUAGCGUAAACAAGAUCAGAUUGGGCUAGUCAUUUAUGCGACUAAACCCUAAUGAACACAUUCUAGCAAUUUUAUAGUACUUUGAAGGAGUAGAAUUGCUGAGUAUGACAUAAAAUUAUGCUAAUUAAAAUGUGGUUCUCCAAAUAAUUCCUCCCAACUAUAGUAUUAUGAAACCCUUUAGGGCCUGCUUGGAUUGUUGUAUUUUCAGUGGGAGGGCUGGUAUUUAGUUCUUCCAAUUUCCAAGCAGGGCCUUAGUGUGUGAUCUUGCAGGUCAUUGGCUGGAAACAGGAUUACUGGUGGCAUACCACCGCAACUUGGUAAUCUUUCUAGGCUGACAAGCUUAGAUUUAGAAGACAACAUUUUAGUUGGAGAGAUACCAGCUUCUCUCGGUCAGCUUUCUAAGCUCCAGCAGUUGUAAGUAUAUUAAAAACCAUUGUUCAGAACUGGUUAUUAAUAAAAUUAAGAUGAUUUGUCUAUUCCAUGCUUUAUUCAUUUCUAUCUCUUAACCAGGUUCCUAAGCCAGAAUAAUUUUAGUGGGCCAAUUCCUGAUAGCCUAAUGAAAAUCUCAGGCUUGACUGACAUGUAAGAAUGUCCAUUGCUAAGUAUGAGUUCUUUUGAACUUCUGGCUCUACUAAAAUGAGUUCAUUUACAUAAGCUUGUCAUAUGCUGACAAGCAAUUUUCUUGCGAUUGCAGUGGGCUGGCGAACAAUAAUCUUUCUGGUCAGAUACCUGGUCUGCUGUUUCAAGUAGCACGUUACAAGUAUCUCAAGAUCGUUCUAAAAGUUAUUUCGACCCAAGUUGUUUUAAUCUGAGUGACUGAUAAUGGCUUUACUUUGAUUGACAGCUUUUCCGGUAAUCACUUAAACUGUGGAACCAACCUACCCCACCCUUGUGCAACCAACAUACCCGAUCAGAGUAAGUUGGAUCCUUAUUGGUCUAGCUAUAGAUUUACUCAUGCAGACUAGUUUUGUUGGAUGUUUGUCUUACAUAUUACAGGUGCCAACUAGAUCUUUUUAUACAGGUGUCUCCCAUGGCUCAAACGUUAAAGUUAUACUUGGUACAGUUGGAGGAAUAAUAGGACUUCUCAUUGUAGUGGCUCUUUUCCUAUUCUGUAAGGCUAAGAACAAAGAAUAUCUACAUGAACUUUUUGUGGAUGUACCAGGUAAUGUUUUCAUGCCUUUGUCUUUCAUGUAUUGUCCUUAUUAGUAUCCCUGCAUUAGUUAGUCUUGUUAAUAGAACCGAGAUUCUUAUAUAAAAUUGGCUUGAUAUAUAGAAUUGUGAACCUACCAAAAACAAGCAAGUACACAACAUAGUUAUUUAGAGAAGCAAAAAACGAUUUCUUGAACUCAGGGGUAUAAUUAAUACAUGUGAACACAUAGGUUUAAGCUAAACCUUAGUGAUUUCUCAUUAAACAAGCGGGGCUGUCCUAGGUUCUGAAUGGAUUAAUCACAAGAGUUCCAAGUUUGCAUGGUAGCAUUGAACUAACUUAUCAUUUUAUGAUCCCCAGGAGAGGAUGAUCGACGAAUUACAUUUGGCCAGAUCAAAAGAUUUGCAUGGCGAGAACUACAAAUAGCGACUGAUAAUUUCAAUGAAAGAAAUGUUCUUGGAAAGGGAGCUUUCGGGAAAGUUUAUAAAGGAGUUCUUCCAGAUGGAACAAAAAUUGCUGUAAAGCGGUUGACUGAUUAUGAAAGGCCUGGUGGGAUGGAUGCCUUCUUGCGUGAGGUGGAGCUGAUUAGCGUUGCGGUUCACAGGAAUAUCCUAAGGUUGAUUGGCUUCUGCUCAACACAAGCAGAACGCCUCCUGGUCUAUCCAUUUAUGCAGAAUUUGAGUGUUGCCUACUGUAUACGAGGUAUCAUUGUUGGACUUAUCCACCCCGCACUAUUCUAUUACUCUAUUAAGUUGGUGACAUGUUCCAUCUGUAUUGUUUGGUUUUCCGUACUACUACCUUCGUCCUUUUGUAGUGGGCAUGCACGCAUUUCAAAAUUCAAUUUUGACCACUAAUUAGACCAAUAAUAUGUAGUUUGUGUACCACAAAAAUAUUAUGAUUGGAUUCGUAUUUGAAAAAAGUUUUUGAUGGUAUAACAGUUUUUGAUUCAGAAAAAGUUUGAUGCCAUAAUCUACAUAUUAUUGGUGUAAUCGAUGGUCAAGGUAAAAUUUUGACAUACAUGCACGCACACAGUUAGGGGAUGGAGUGGAGGGAGUAGCAAUAUUUCAUCAUUUGCUUAUUUGUUAAUGAUGCAGAUUGAACCUCUCAGUUUUAACAUUUUACUGGGCAUUUGUUUCUGGAGUUAAUUUGUUAGAACUGCAGACUGCUGUGCUAGUGCUGACAAAUAAAUUUCAAAACGUUGGAAAUGUAUUGAUUAGUUGAGGUUUGUUCUUUGUUCAGCAUCAUGUGUCAUUCUUAGUUUAUAAUGUCCAUUGUGCUGAAAAUGACGCAGAGUUUAAACCUCGUCAUUCUUAGUUUAUAAUGUCCAUUGUGCUGAAAAUGACGCAGAGUUUAAACCUGGAGAACCCAUCUUAGACUGGUCAGCUAGAAAACGGGUGGCCCUAGGUACAGCACGUGGACUUGAGUAUCUACAUGAACACUGCAACCCCAAGAUCAUACACCGUGACGUCAAAGCUGCGAACGUCUUGCUUGAUGAGUACUUUGAACCUGUUGUUGGUGAUUUUGGCCUAGCGAAGCUAGUAGAUGUGCAGAAGACAUCUGUGACAACCCAAGUCCGUGGAACUAUGGGUCACAUAGCACCUGAGUAUCUGUCCACAGGGAAGUCGUCGGAAAGGACGGAUGUUUUUGGUUAUGGGGUCAUGCUUCUUGAGCUUGUGACUGGACAGCGCGCAAUUGACUUCUCUCGCAUGGAAGAAGAAGAAGAGGUGCUCUUGCUCGGUCAUGUAUGCCUCGUUGGCUUUUCCAACAUUUAAUCCAACCGAAUUCCGUGCCUUGUUAUGAUUGGGAUGUAACUAAAUGUAGGUAAAGAAGCUACAGAGAGAAGGGCAGCUACGGUCCAUUGUGGACCACAACCUGGGUCAGGAUUAUGACAAGGAGGAGGUUGAGAUGGUGAUACAGAUAGCAUUGCUCUGCACGCAGGCGUCGCCCGAGGACCGUCCGUCGAUGUCAGAAGUGGUUCGGAUGCUGGAAGGCGAGGGUUUGGCGGAGCGUUGGGAGGAGUGGCAGCAGGCAGAGGUGACAAGGGGGUGGCCCUAUGAUUACGGGUGGAGCGAAGACUCCCAUUACAAGCUGGAAGCAAUACAGCUGUCUGGAGCUAGAUGAUAACUGGCAAUGAUGGACAUGUCAUCACCGUAGAGUUAGAUACUAAAAUGCAAACAACCUUGUGGAUCCAUAAUACGUGGAGAAAUAUUUAACAGAUAGAUCAUAUAUGGAUAUAAUACCUGCAUUUGUAUGGCUGGGCAUUAAAAUUGGACCGUAGAUUUUCUAUGUAAUCACCGUGGAUCCAUAAUAUGUGGAGAAAUAUUUAACAGACAGAUGAUAUAUGGCUACAUAUCCUAAUAUGUGAAUAUAUGUGCACCUCCUGGAAGUUGAAAUGGCACCACCUAGUUUAAAAACCUCCUAUACGGAAUUGUAUGAGUUCUAGAGUUUUAUUCUCUCGGUCAUUUGGUGCAGAUACGUGAAAUAAAAAAAUGAUAUUAUGAAACCUACACUAAAGAGUCAAAAAGCAUCGAGAUUUUAUAGCUGUUGGACACAAGCAAUACAUGUUUGCUGCAGUAAGAGUUUGGAUUUAUCCAUGGCGAAGAGUCACCAAGUUUCCUACACACUCCUGCACUGAAUGCGCCGGUUUGUCUCCUAUACCAUUGCUGCCACGAGCAUACAAAAGGCCGUUGAUGAUUGUGGGGAUGUUUGUAAGUCCAUACAUGAGCUAACGUCGUCUAUAUUAUUCAGUAGUUCCGAUCCACAUUUUGAUGGUCCAAAUGUUACCAUGAAUCAUGACAGCUAGCUGAGAAGCCAGCACUUUCUAUAGAGCCCUCCGAUUAUAAUAAGUGUCGUUGAUUUAGUAGGAAAUUACCACCAUCAUUGCCCUAAUGGUUACACAAGCAAAUUUUCAACCACCCGCUAUAGAUAAAUGCUGCAUUGCAGCGCACCACAGUUGCUGGAAAAAACUACAGUACUCUGAACAAUAGCUACCAAACAAGUCUUUAAUGCUUGGACAUGUAAAGCCUUGAUGUUCAUCAAAAAAAUUCAGCAUAUUUCAAUGCAAAAUGAAACAAAUAUCGUAAGAGAUUAAAACAAUAUGCCAGAAGUUGGUACCCUGAGCCAGAUAUUCAUCGCCCCCCUCUGAUAGCAGAAUGAGCACAACCUGGAUAUUUACCCUUCCUGGAGUAGAUGCCGAGAUACAUAAAUCCCAGAUCACCCUGUUCAUCAGAUUAGUAUAUAGUGAAUAUGGUGCCGAAAAUAAGGAAAAUUAAGAUGUGACCAAGCAAUGGGUGCAGGAUAGUAGUAACCAAGAACCUUAAUUAGACCAACCUAAGAAGAUGAGACUUUCAGGUAAGUGGUUUAAAGCUUCAUUUUAGAGCAUAUUAUUAUGCUCCAUCAAUUGCAAGUUGCAAGGUGUAUUUUGAGCGGACACAAGGAUUAUAUUUAUAAAAAACCAAGAGAAAAGCAAGAAUAUUAAUCAUACAAUCCUUGCUGUUUGGUAAGGGGAACAAAUGGAACAUACUUCCUCAUCUGAAAUCCAUCUCAAUGCUGAUGAUAGAGUCCCCGAGUCUGUCAGUAUCCUUAGACACUUUUGCCUGGCAGUUCAAUGCACUGCUUUGUUCUUCAGGACCCCUAGGUUUAAAACAGCUAAUGGCUUGAAAUUAUGCUGCAUAUUUCUUGGGUCACUAUAUAUCCACAAAACUAGGUUCGCUCACUAUAUUUCAAACCUGGUACAUUAACAAGAACAAGAACACUAUAAUGGGAGGAAAAGUUAAAGAUCUAUAAGUGUGUCAAAUCAACAGGAUCUACACAAAUUAUAGUGCAAAGAGUCAUUCAGUAAAAAUAUUGUGUAAAAUAUACUUUACAGUGAUAAAACAAGAAGGCCUCAAGCCCACAGGGGAACUGUUUAGUUAAAUUGCCAAAUAAACAAUCUAGUACACCGAAUAGCAGGUCCUUGUGGCAAUUUAGAAUGCUAUUUGCCUGACUAAGACUAGUCAUAAGUAGGUGAAGACAUGCUGGGUCAGCAGUGAAGCAAAUGCAUAAACAACCAACAUUGCAUUUUCUUCUUUUAAGCAGUAUAGGGAACAAGGUAUGAAAUUUGUAAACAGGCAAGGAUUUCAUUGCAUAAACCAUUAUUAACAAAUCAAAUGUAAAAUUAACCACGAACUUAAUGUUCAACAUCAGCCACAAGCAAUCACGGGUGAUUUUUUGAACGCAAGUACCCAACUAAGAAAUUCAAGCAUUUUUAACAGAAUAAGAAGACGAACCAACUAGUAGGUAGUUAAACAUAAAUCUGCAUAGGCGUUAAGCAUUACACAAACCUGGCGAACAAGCUUUUUUAUUCAAAAAGGACCUGGCGAACAAGCUAAAAUAAGUAUAUUUUCAAAACAGAAGCAUAACAAGUGUUAGUGUUGACUCAAUAUUAAAGAUGAAUAAUACAUAUAGCUUAGCGACAAGCAAUGCUACUAAACAACGAAAUCACUUUCUGACAGUCACAAACUUAUAACCGGAACAUGGGAUGCAAAAGCAAUAUGCACAGGUUUAACAGUGAAAAUAGUACUGAGAAUAGACGACCAGUGUCCAAUUCGUGUACCUACUUUCUACCCAGUUGGGCAAUCGCAAGGUUCAGGUGAUUAGCUUGCUGGAGUUUAUCUGCAAUGCAAGAAGAUCACAUUUUUAAGCAAUACUCUGAACUGACAAGAAGCACUGUAAGAUAAUUUUCAGCAGGGCAACCUUUAGGAAGAUGAAUUCCCCCCUCCUCAAAGUCAAUACACAAGGUGUUUGCUGCCCAUGAGCUUCCUGCCUUCCUCUGUGACCAGAUUGCCAAGCUCGCAGGUGCAGAAGUCCUGGGGACCCUGGCCUAUGCAAACUAGUAACUUUUUUAUGUGGUUUCUAGGUACAUUAGGUCCUCCAGCUGUUCAAGGCACCUCUUCCUUUAUACGUGGUAAGCCAAUAUUUGAUGCAUUUGUUUGAAGUUAUGUUUCUCUAUUUAAAUUGACAACUUAAGAGACUAUAAACUGACAGUUAUACGGUCUGCAAACUAAAGCUUUUCCAUGUACAUCAGUUGCGGCUUGCGGUCGCCCCAGCUGUUCAAGAUACUUCUGUCUGUAUAUCUAGUAAACUCAUGAUACAUAUGCUCUUUGGUUAAGUUUCUCCAUUUAAACUAGUAACUGGCACUACACUAUGGAGCACAAGUCACGGCAAGUAAGCUGACGGCAAUUGGAACUGAAUGUAAACUUGCAAUCAUAGGAACUGGUAACUUCUUAUGUGGUUCCCAUGCACAUCAGCUGUUGUUGCCUCAGUCGUUCAACUACCUAUGCCUGGGUUUGUUAGUAUAGGAGUGAAUUCCAAUUUUGACCCCUAAGUUUCAGGGUUUUUUACAGUUUUGAUCCCAUUUAGCGAGAUUUACGAUUUUGACCCCAUUUAGCAAACGUUUUGCCACAAAUGACCCCAUUUAGAAACAUAUAUAUGCCCCAAUAAAUGGUAUAGUCACUCUCAGAAAUACAUUAGAAAUUCAGAAUUGUCAUGAACCAUUGCAUGUGGAGCGGAUGGAGAGCUAGAACUCUCACUUUAAAGAUACUAUUUCCCUAAAAAAUGAUUGGAAAAAUUAUAUCUAUUUCACAGGUCACCUUCGUUUUUAGCUAUUUCUCGGCUAAUGGCUGCGCUUGCUCACCGUUGACCUGCACCUGGUUACACCUCGCCGGCAUAGGUGCUGGGGUGGCCCGCUCCUUGGCUUGCCCCCACAGGAACGUGUAAAGCCCCAGGAUGAUGAGCAGCGUCCCCAGCACGCUGCAUUGCGCAUCAAUCACAACCGUUAGUUUUGGUUGUCACCAUGAGAAGACUUGAUGAAAGUCUAGGACCUAGGUGGCGAUUGACCUGCCGAGGUAGAUGUCGGUGCCGAGUAGGACGGAGUCCAUGGCGGUGGUGAGGAUAAGCGAGAGAGAGUUGAACAUGGUCGGAUAGGUCGGGCCACGCCGUGAUAUCGCCCACAAGUUGAGGACGUACAUGACGCCCGAGCCCAGCACUCCCUGAUCGAUGUUCAUCCAUCAAACACAUAAAGUAAGUUCAUCGUUAUCCGAGUUUACUUAUAAGUAGAGAUUAAUAAGGUGAACACAUCAAGUAAUAAUUAAAUAAUUACCGAGAAGAGAACCGUGAAAAGCUGCAGACCCCAUUCGAGCUUCCAAGCAGAUUUAUGAGGCGUCAUGACGAGCCCGAUUGCAACGGACUGCAGGCUCCCCGCCAGGCAUGUCAUCGUCGUGGCCAGGUACUUGGAACGGAACACCCUUGAGAGCCUAGCCUGCACACUGAAGCCCACCGCGUAGCUGAGGCAACUCCCGCACAGGAAGAGCGUGCCAAUGAUCAUGUGGCGAUGAGGACUCGCCGGUGCUGCAUUGGCAUGGUCAUGGGAUUUCAGCAGGUGGGUGGGCCAGAGAUGCAGUAGCUUCCAUUUAAACAAGCUCAAGAGCAUGGUGCCGCCGACGCACACCACUGCGCCCAUCAGCUUUAUCUUGGCAGGCCAGCUGUGGAAUGCCAACUUCUCGGCUCUGAAGAAAUUCAGUUGCGAUCAGCAUGUACAUGCAUGUCAUCAGUUGCAUCGGAUUGUGAUGAGCGCCUUAUUAGGGGAAUCGAUCAAUUAAUUAAUUACCGGAACACAAUGCCGACGAUGAAGGUGACGAUGGGCAGGAGGUUGAUGAUGUUGGCAGCGUAGGUGGCGGUAGUGUGACGCAAACCGUAGAACAACAGCCCGAGUGCUAAGGGAACUCUAUAUACGUACAUGAUUCAGGCAUAAAUUACUCUGAUCCUAGCAGUACUGCAACGGCACACAUCUUGUAAAAAAUUGUCAAUACUAAGUACUAACCGUACCCCAUUGUGGCGCUUAUGCAAAUCCAGCCCAACGCUACGAGGUUCGUUUUUUUAAACAUCUCCCUACAAUCAAGUAACAUAACUAGUGUAAAUACAAGGAAAUGACAGAUGAAAAAAGAUGGGCCGGAGGUACAAUUAACACAAGAAAUAAGGAACCUCUCGCAAAUGACGGCCAUGGGGGCGACGACUGCGGCACCGAUGAGGCUACGGUAUGUUAUGAGGACGAAGGGGGGCAUCCCGUCGUUGAGGGCAAGCUUGAAGAGCAGAACCAUGGCAGUCUUGAUGAACUGCGCCCCCAGCAUGCCCAGCGGCACCCCCACCCUGUCCAGCUGAUUGCCUUUGCCCCCGCGUCUCGCUCUCGCCACCGCCGCCGGAUCAUCCUUCACCGCCACGACCAAGUGCUUGUCCAUCUCCAUCUGCCGGUACGCACGUGUUUGCUGUUAUCGUAGCUCGCCUGGACUCGAACUUCCGCAGCGUUUUCUCUCCUUCCUUUUAUUUGGUCGUUACAACUCAACUGAAAAGCAUGAAAUCAGGAUCGGUGACGGUGAGCAAGGGCGGAGGACCCGGUAGGCACUAAUGCUUCACGUACACGCAACUUGCGGACUGUUACCGGCUGAGUAGGAAAAAAAAUCCUACGUGACGUUGAAGUAAAACAAAAACGAAAAAACUAAAUAAAAAGGCAGUUACGCUAAUUGGCGAAUCAAGAGGAGGACGGGAGCAAGGAUUGAUUGAAAUUUCCUCAACAAAAGGAUUUUUUUUUCGCAAUCAACAAGAGAAUUUUGUGUUUGCUAAUUCCACUCUUCAGUUCAAAUGAACUUCAUUACUAUCAUGUAAUAAUCUCUAAAUACUCAUCUUGUUUCAAUAAUGAAAUUGGGGUCUAGCUCCUUUUACUCGAAAAAACUCUUCACAGUUCAAAUUAGUACUAUAAUUAUUUUGUUCCAGUUUUGGUUUCGAUGUCAUCAUAUACAGUUUUUUAUCCUUAUAUUGGUAAAAUAUUCCUUGUUAGUUUUCGGAGUUGUGAAAUGUGGUUUGCAAAAAGUGACCAGACUUGGGCCAAAAGAACACCGCAGCUGGACCAAACAUGGGGUUCACCUGGACAUGAACAUGUCAGACUUGAGCCAAACCCGGUCAGUCCGACAUUGAAUGUUAAUGCGUGGUGGGCCAACCCGGGCGAGACACGAUGCUAUACGAAAAGCCUAACCUGCGUGUACUAAAAGGGAAUAGACGAACCUGGGCGGGACGAUGCCGAGACCGAUGGCAUUGAUACCCAGACCCCUAAAUCACAAGAUUUGACUUGAGUUUUCGCUUCUUUUCCCACUUCACCUUGUUUCCCAUCCCCACCCCAAACCAUCUAUGCGGCGACGAUUCUCUCGCUGGCCAUGUCCUUCUCCCCCUAGUGCCGCCGCUGACAACAACCACGGGCCAACGUCGUUCCUUUUCCCUCCACGACCCUCGCAUCUCUCUCUCUCUCCGCUAGUGUUGCUGCCGCAAGCAACCGCCGUCGUCGGCAAUCAUCUCUCCCAGCAUGUCCCUCCCUCUCAACGUGUGGGGCGCCAGCAAGUACAUGAGCAGGUAGAAGGCGCCGCCGACAAAGGCCAUUUGAGGUCUCAGAGUCUUCCCCGAUCCCCUCGGGUCUGACCUCUCCCCGUUCCUCCGACUUGGUGACUAGGGUGCCAAAUAUCUAUGGAUGUGUCCACAUCUGAAGUGCCUGAUUUUUUAAGCAAAAAAUUUCUUCUUAGUCGAUACUAUCAGAGCCACUCCAUUCUCUUUUGUUAUGAAUCUUAAAGAACAAUGUAGAUCCAACAGCUGAACAAUUAACUUAUCCCUAACUAAAGUCAUGUGACUUAGAUAUAGCAAAGUUGAAUAUCUAUUUUUUAAGUUUGUAAGUAUGUAGAUGUUUCUGGAAACAAAAAAUAUAUAAAAUAUAUAUAACUAUAUAUUUACUCUUAUAAAGAACUAAUUUGAUAAUCCACCUCCAUGUAUUUUAUCAUUCCGUAAAACAUUGGAUUAUUAGAAAGAUAUAGCAUUAAGAUUUGUACUUGCAUGAGUUCAGAUAGUAUAACCCGCUUGCGAGCAUUUCAAAUAUCAAAGUGGAUCCCAAAAAACAAAAAAAAAUUCACCCAUACAAUAUUGAAUGUAAAAACAAAAUAUUAUAAAAUAAUUAUUAAAAAAAUACAAACUAAACACAUUAGAAUGCAUUUUUGCAAUCAUAAAAUAAACAUUGAAUGUCAUAUGUCUGAUAUAUGAAUUUGCCUACCUCAUCGUAUUUUUGUGCUCCUCCUUUAUCGGUGAGUGCGACGUGAUCCCGUGUCAUCCCACGACCUAGCAUCAUGGCGCAGCGCACACGUAGCGACGAUGCCAAAUCGAAGCGGCACGCCACCAGCCGCAAACUUUGCCCGCAACAAAAUGGCCUUAUUGGCUCUCGCGGUCCGGUCGUUGAAAUCUGUGGCUUGUGUGGACAAACCCGCUUAGCCCGCGAUGCAAAAUCCAGUUGUAUGCUCACACGCAGGCAAGCUCAAGGCUGCGGCCACCUCCUCCUCCUUCCACCUCAAAUCAGAUUUCAGACGAAUUCACUAGACCACGCCUGAAGGACUUAUCUCCUUCAAAUCAACUUUCAGUUUGGAGUCUUGCAACUCAAGAAGCCAUUGUGCGGAUCCAGGAAAGAAGAGAAAACGAAGAACCAGGAAGAGAAGAAGAGGAAGAAACAGGAGGAGAAAGUUGGAAGAGGAGAGGAGAAGUUUUUUGCAAAGAAAUAAAAACGAUCCAACGAGGUGAUUCUUUAUAUCAUGGCACCAAUAAUCUGAAUUUUUGGUGUGAUUUUUCACUUAAUUUAGUGUUUACAAGUUUGGAAUUUUGCAUUUUCUAAUUCUGUAGGAACUAGGAAAUUUGGUGCAUUUUAGUAGUGUUUAAGUGUUCAGUUGAAGUUUCACUUUUGUGUAGGAAAUUAUCACAUCUAGCUAGAGGGCUGCCUUUUAUUGUAAAAAGAAAGUGACACCUGUUGUUUCUUCUCUUUACCAUUAUAUUGAAUCCAACAUUGGACGAUUGAAGGUUAUAUAUUGAUGGCUUUAUAAAGUUGAUCUGCAUAUCUUAUAACCUUCAAUGGUCCAAGUUGCCAGCUCCUUGUAUUCAGACUCCUUGUUAGUUCGUAGAAACCUACUUUGUCGUUGUAUUCAGACUUCUUGCCCUAUAAGUUGGGCUGACCACUUACUCUGUGUCUUGUCUGUUACUCCAUGAGAAAAAAGUUUAACUCCUUAUAUGCUCAGAGUACAACGUUUAGGGGCCUUGUUUUACUCCUAAACAUUGUAUAGGGGCUGCCCCUUAAAUUUUUUAACCCCUAUUUCACCUAAAGCUUAGAGGCCUAUACAACGUUGUAAAACAAGGCCCCUGUACCACUUACUCUGUGUCUUGUCUGUUACUCCACUCCAUGAAAGCUGUUGUUUUGGAGUCACAAGUUGGCUGGUCUCCUCUUUCUUUAUAUCCUCAGAAUUCAAACCUGAUGUUAAAUCAUGAAGCGUUGAGUUUUUGGUUUGGGAGCGUCGGAGUUAUUAUUUGAGUUACGACUAAAUUGUCUGUAAUUCUCUAAGCAUCCAAUUGCAAGUAACUAUACAGGCUGAAACCUGAUAUACCAUUCUUUAAAGUUAUGAGCAUUUCAUAGUUUCAGUAGUUUUCUAUGUACAUGUAGCAAGCUAGCAUUGAUAAUCAAGUGGGCAAGUUUAUGAUUCAUUCUCUAAAUCUAGUUGAAUUGGUAUCAACAAGAUCGGUAUCACCACUACAGAAUUGGUCACCGGUGGCAGGCCAAAUUCAGUACCAGUGGCGGUGGACUAGCCCGCCACUAAGCCUGCGCCACUGGUGCUAUGAAUCACCAGUGGCGGUGCACAGCACAGCCGCUAUCGUUUCUGGUGGCAGUCUGAUGCCACCGCCACUGGUGCUACCCGUUUCUGGUGGCUGGCCAAUGCCACCGCCACUGAUACCAAUUUGACGAUGCAAUACCGAAUCAAAACCGGAUUCUAUUAAUCGAGAAACCAGAACAAAACAUUCAAUUAAUCGACAAUACACAGAUGCAUCCAUUUGACACUUAGAGAGAUCUAUACAUCCAUCCAUCAAAACUUUAAUCUAGAAAUCAGAUCAUUACAGAGGAUACAAAGAAUUACAACACAAUUACAAAGAAACCAAAAAGGCAUCCAUCGAAACCAACACAAUUACAUAGAUGCAACAAUCCAUCCAUCCAUCCAUCCAUCUAAGGAAGAUUGGGCAGCCCUCCUCGUCUGCAAGAAAAGGAGAGAAAGAGGGGGAGGGUGAGAACGGAGAGAGAACUGAGAGAGGGGAGAGACUUACCAGUGACGGAGGGGCCGUGGCGGUGGUGGCAUGGAGGGGCCGGAUCCGCCGUCGUAGGGGCUGAGGCGGCCGGAUCCGGGGCCGGGGGACAGGAGGGGCUCGGGGAGAAGAAGCCGGGACCGCGUGCGCAAUAUCCGAUGGAGAUGGGGCUGAGGGUGACAGGAUCUGGUGGAGACGGAGCUGAGGGCACCUGGAUCCAGCAGAGGACGACGUCGACGGUGCCAGGCUGGGAGGAGGAGGCCGGGACCGCCUGCACCACCAUGGUGGCGGGAGGAGGUGAGGAGGCGGUGGCCUGCUUCGGCUUGGUGGGGGGGGAGGCAAGGAGGCGGUGGGGCUCCGGCUUGGUGGCGCAGGGAGAGACUAGAAAGUUGGAAGGAGAGGAGAGGAGGAGAACGGGAGAGAGUCAUGGAGAGGAAAUCGAGAAGGAUAGGGAGAGAAUAGAAUCGUGGAGAAAGAAAUUGGUGUGGGCCAGUCGAUCCGAUGCAUGCGCGCUCCACCAAUCGGGUUCUUUCGGUGUGGGCCAGUCGAUCCCGUGCAUGUGUGCUCCACCAAUCGAGGGGAAGCAUCCGGAUCGUGUGCUUGUUUGGCAUAGGAAAAACAUCCACCCGCAUGUCUCCAGUGGCGGGUUCUAUAGCAAAACAUCCAUUAGAAGUGUUUAAAAUUUGUGUAGUUUUUAUUUUUUAUACAAUAUACUUGUAUUUUGGAUUGUACCCAGACUGGUUUAUAAGUCUGUAAAUAAGGUCAAUCUUGUGUGAAAAUUGGGUGCCAUUUUGAUGCAUAUUACUUGUACUUGCUUCAAAAAAUACUCUGUUUUUUGCAUUUAUAAAAUGGAAAUAAUAUUUUAUGACUAAAAAGUUGUAAACCUCUUUAGCAAUAUUGUUUAGCAUGGCAAGAGGCACCUCUAUGCAAAAAAUGGAUGCAAAAUCAUGAAUUAUAGCAUAGAAAUGGUUGUGACUUUGGUCAUUUGGUUUGAAAGCCAUAAACAUUCAUACCUGAUAGUCCAUUUUGUGAAAGAUUUUUUGAAAAUUUGUCAAAAUUCAAGUUUCUCAUUUUUCAUGGCAACUAGUAAAAAGGACUCCCUGCCAAGAAUGGACUUUUUUGACAUUUUCUUCAUAUUUUUUGAAUUUUUGCAAGAUGAGGUGAAAAUUGUCGGCACAUCUUUCCAUAGCAAGGUGUUGAAUAUUUUAACACCCUUUGUGAAUCUUACCUAAUCAUUACUUGGAUACCUUAAGUUGAUUUUUUGAAUUUUUUAGGAACAAACUAUCGCACACUUCGGUUCAAAUUUGAAUUACUUUUGGGAAAUGGGUAGAAAUUCAUUUAAAUGGGGAAAAAUAUUAACAAAGUUAGAAAAUUCAAAACUUUUUACACAACCAAUUAAAUAUGUUCUAGUUUGUGAGAAAAUUGUAUAGGUGCCAUUGCGAACCAUAAAAAUUCUACUUGUUUCACAAAUUACUUCAUUUUUUGCAUUCAAAAAAUGGAAAAUCAUUUUCUCUAAGAAACAUGAUGUGAUAUUAUUGUUCCAAAAUGUUAAGGCAUAGAGAUCAAGACUUCAGCAAAAAGAAUCACAUCGUUCCAAUUUUUUAUGAAUUAGUUAUGAUUUUUGCAAGUUUCAGCGGUCUCCGAGAGGGUCAGCAGUGGCCGGUCUUUGGCUAACAAACCAGUCACUGGUGACCCCAGCAAUGGCGGGCUGAAAUAGUCAACCACUGUUGGGAGUCACCAAUGGUUGUUUCCAGGAACGGCCACUGUUGGGGGUUCACUAGUGCCCAUGGACGCGCACCGCGCUGUGGCUGCCCACCGCCACUGGUGGAGCACGAGUGGCCGUGAUUUUUUUGCCCCGCUCGAAUAGCCACUGAAGAUCGUGCGCCAGUGCUACAUUCUGGCGUAGUGUAUAUUUGAUAUUUGAUUUAUCAUAUCUAAAUGUUUUGCGCACCUUAUAUAUUUGAUACUCCCUCAGAUCCACAAUAAAUGUCUCAGAUUUACUACAACUUGAUACUAAGUUAGUACAAAAUCUAAUACACUUAUUAUGGAUCGGAGUGAGGAUUUGAUUUAUCAUAUUUUAAAUGUUUUGCGUACCUGUGAAGGGUGGACACGAGCCUGGCGAGCCGUUUGGUCGGCUCGGUCAACUCGCGAGCUGGCAGUGGCCGGGCAACAGCAGUGUCAGUGACCGGGCAACAGCAGUGGCAGUGGCAGGGCAGCAGCAGAAGGCAGCGGCAGGCCGGCAG